CUUUAUCUGGCUACUGGAACAGAGAUGCUAGACUUUGCUCCCUGCCAAAGAAAGCAACUCAACUGGCACCAGCAACCCUCUUCAGCAGGCUGGAGUGACCAGCUUCAAAUACCAACGUGAAAGUGGGUGAGAGGGCUGGUUCAGCAGAAUGUUCGAGGGUCAAUUCUGCCAUUUCUAGUUAGGGUUCCCAACUGAAACCCUUGAGAGCUGCUGCCAGUCCGUGCAGACAGUACUGAGCUAGAUGGGCCAGAGGUCAGAUUCAGUAUAAGGCAGCUUCCUGCGGUCCUGUGAUGGCAAGAUUUGGGGUCUGAAUGGUGCAGCAAGUCUCUCCCUCCUUCCUUCCCUCCCUCCCUCUAAGUGACAUAGCAAGGGUGUAGCGUUUGGGCUGCACCAACAGUUUUGCCAUGAAGUACCCCAAGUACAAAUGGCUGUGCUUAAGUUUCGGGAUCCAAAUUUAGUUGAACACUUUUUGUGUCCUCUUUGUGCACAGCCUAGUUGUGGCCAGGGAAAUAAUUUCCCCAGGAAUAUAGCAGGUGAGAGUUUUCCUGCAAAGUGACAUAUAAAAUACUACUACUACUACUACUACUACUACUACUACUAAUAUCCUUCUCAGGGACGCGGGUGGCUCUGUGGGUUAAACCACAGAGCCUAGGACUUGCCGAUCAGAAGGUUGGCAGUUCGAAUCCCCACGACAGGGUGAGCUCCCGUUGCUCGGUCCCUGCUCCUGCCAACCUAGCAGUUCGAAAGCACGUCAAAGUGCAAGUAGAUAAAUAGGUACCACUCCGGUGGGAAGGUAAAUGGUGUUUCCGUGCGCUGCUCUGGUUCGCCAGAAGCGGUUUAGUCAUGCUGGCCACAUGACCCGGAAGCUAUACGCUGGCUCCCUCGGCCAAUAAAACGAGAUGAGGGCCGCAACCCCAGAGUCAUCUGUGACUGGACCUAAUGGUCAGGGGUCCCUUUACCCUUUAUCCUUCUCUAUUCUCCCUCCAGUCAACCUAAAGGCAUUAUCAGGGUCUAGGGCAUAUUGCAGCCAGACAAGAACACUUGUGGCAUAAAGCAAGGCCUGUGUUGGGCAUGGCUUGUGGAAACUCCCGAGGGCCAAACAGAGAGGGCUGGAGGCCGCAACCCUGAGGUUCCCCACCUUUUCUAUGUCCUUGUUUGAAGUGCUCCAAGCUUUCUCUACUCUCCUUCAAGAUCUGCUUCUGGCCCUUUGUCUAAACCUAUCAGCUUCCAAUUCUAUUUUAUCCCCUGUUUUGAUGCACUUCGCUUUCAUGACCGUGCUUUAAUAGGUGCCACAGUUUGCAAGGCUGCAACCUCAGCAGAUGCUACAUUUUAUUCUCUCACAAACUCUGAGUCACCAUUCGGAGAAGCCAAAGGGAACACGUUGGGGAGCAAAAGUUGUUCCAGAUUGUAGGAAACAUUUGGCUAACAGAUAUGUUAAGAAUCAGACUUUCCUGCAAUAGGAGUCUUACCCCCUUAUGGGUUCCCUCCCCUUUGCCUAUCAACACAAAUAGUUUUGUCCAACUUCUGAUUAUUUCAUCACUUCUCUGCUGUGUUUGCUCAGCUGUGCUGCCACUUUGCUUUGCAAAGUUUAGUAGCUACCAACUUCAGCCAGCUUGCAUAGACAAGAGGAGGUCUCACACGGUUUUAUAUCAUACUCUUGCUAUGACAUACCUAGUGCAUGGCAUGUACAUUAGCUGCAGACAAGCAUCCAAAAUGCCUCUUUAAGUAACAUUUAUAUUCAAGCAGACCAAGACCAAAAUAAAAAUAAAAACAACCAAUUUGACAUUCUUACUGAAGAAUGGUGCAAACCAUGAACUGACUCAGGUCGAAAAGUAUUUAUUAAAACAAAGCUCAUUGCAAGAAAAACAUGUAUAUCCUUUGGUUUUGGAUUUCUAGGCCAUCAUAAUCUGUAAUUUGGACAUGGGCAACAAAGAGUGUAUGAGGCAUGUAUAAAUCCCAAAGCAUUUUUACUUGGUCCAUUGUCUUUUGUUGAGGAGGAUCCCAUCAGUCAAACAAUGGCCAUAUGGUUUGAUUGCAUAAAUAUCCCGGUUCAAUCACUGAUAAUUCUACUUAAAAGUAUCAGAGGGCCAAAUGAAGUAGGAAGUUAAAUGCAAAUUUGCACUUAAUGUGUGCAAGAUGCAAAUGAUUUCAGCUGUGGGUGCGGGUGGUAAUUGUAGAGAUCACAAUAAGUGUUUGUGUGGGGGGAAUUUAACACUUUCCUAUCCUGCUGUGGUCCUUUCAAAGCUCACUCCUUCUUAAACUGGUCUUUUCAUUGCAAGGAUAUUCUAGUUUAGCAACAAAAGGGAAUUCCCUUUAAAGGGGCAAUUUUUAUCAGGCAGCAUAAGGGAAGGGAAGGGUUAAAACUCCUUCCCUACUUCUAGCACUCAUGAUAACGAUCCCCCAGCAGAUUCUACUUGCAUUUUUAAAAGAAAUAAAGACAACUGUUGACAUUAUAUAUAAAUACACAAUUGAAGUUUCAUUUUCUAGUUUGGCCAUUCACAUAUUCAUGCUCUGUAAGAGCUCUGGGAUUCCCAUAUUCCUUAUUUUAAAAUGGAGGACUGACUCAUCCUUUUACAUCUUUAGUGUGUAUCUUUACUAAAAAUAUAGUGUGUAGUGCUGUUAUGAGUACAUACCAUGUGUGGUUCCUGGUUGUGGGGAUUAAAAACAUAUCCACACAUUUCUGAAGUCAGAUUAUUCCAUGUGCACCUAGUUGCUGUAAUCCACAUCACAAAUCUAUGGGCUCUGACAGAUUACUAGGGUAGCUUCUAAUCCAGAGAUAUUUAGACCCAUUUAAACAAGUGCAACUUACUUUAUUCUUUUAUUCAUUUAAAAUAGUUCAGACUUAAUAAUGUCAAUAAAAUGUCAGUGCUAGCUCACUUUCUCUGGCUUGAGCUCACUGUAGUUUAUGCAUAUGAUUUCUGACGUGGUUAUUGGGAAUUUUGCAAAGCAAAAUGGUGGAAACAAAAAGGAUUCAUAUAGACACCUAUACAUUGUAGUUAUAUUUCUCUCAUUUGUUCCCCAAUAAAAAACACCCAGUAAAAUCUUUCAGACAUACCUGAAAGAUUCCAGUUACUAUAAAAGUUCAUAAAACAGUCAUAAUUUCCACAUUGUUCCCCAAUUUUGGGCCUUGCAGGGUUUCAUUGUUCUUUGGGGGAUGUUGCUUUGAACCAUAAGUUUUCCAUUUCUUUCGUACUUACUUCAGAAGGAAUGGCCUUUCGAAAACUAUAUGUCAGUAUCUCCAAUAUAUGACUACCAUUUCAACUCCCAAAGGUGCCAUUUUUUAAAUAGUCUUGCAAGUGUCAUUGCUCAAAUCUACACCACACACACACACACAUACUUUGCUUCAAAAUUUGCCACAGUUUGCAUUAACAAGGAUGAAAUAAUUGUGGGACUAGUGCUUUUUCUUUAGAUUUAAGACUAAAACUAGUAUGGGGAAAAUAAAUGAAAGAGAAUGGUUUUACCAAACUAGAUUAUUUUAUGUAUAAAUAAAAAUGUUUCUUUCUGUUCAUUUUAGGAGUAUGGUGAAGCCAACUGUGAUUGCUUCCAACUUGCCAUGUUUAAUACUUGGUAUCCGUCUCAGAUAGAUCCAUUCUUACCUACCUCUUCCAUCACUUUUCUCCAUAUGUAUAAGCUAAGCAUAAUGUAAGUGGAGUGGUUAAUAUGCAUAACUCCCGGCCCUUGUGCGCAUUCCCCAUGGUCAUGCAGCAUUCUCAUGGAGAAUGUUCACGUAAUCUAUCCAUGAAGAUGUAAUUGGUUGAUAUACAUAUGGAGAGCUGCUACCAAUCCAUGUCAACAAUACUGAGAUAGAUGGUCCUAUGGUCUCAGUAUAAGGCAGCUUCCUGUGUUGUGAGGAAACCAUUGUUCCCCUCUCAGACCUAAAAUUCCCAGAGUGGUUUACCGAUCAACCCAGGGAACUCUUGGAACUGUAGCUCUGUGAGGGGAACAAGGGUAUCCUACCAACUUUCAGAACCCUUAAUAAACUACAGUUCCGAGGAUUCUUGGGGGGGACAACCAUAAUUGUUUAAUGUGAAUUCAUAUGUAUGUAUAGUGCAUAUAUGACCAUCAUCUAACCUCCCCAUAAACAAAUACAAAUAAAUUCUCCUUAAAUAGCCAGCAUUGUCAUAUCUGCCUGGAAACAAAUCAAGAUGAAUGCUCAGUAAACAGGUCAUCUGGAACUACCCUGUGCUAGAUAUGUUCUAGAUUUAGCAUCUAAAGAAUGAGUGGCAUAUAUAUGAAGAUAUACCUCCCAUAGUAGUAGAUACACUUAGUCUUAUGUAUGAAAUGCCUUUUUCAAAUGUUUUGGUUGCUUGGGACAUGUAUUUUUAAUGUAAAAUUGCUUUUAAUCUGGUAUCAUUUUGUCAUCUGCAUCAGAAAGGUAAAGAGUUCAGUGGCGUUGUCUUUGAAAAGAAUUACAUAGCUCGAUAUCAGAUUUAUUGGCUAAGUGUUAUUAACAAUAGUCUUGAGACCAGAUCUGUUUAAUUUCUGUCAUAUAGGAAUCUGAAUACUUAAAGCCUACUGUAAGGCCAAAUGGACUAUCCAGUGUUUAGAAAUCGUCUGACACAAAUCUAGCAGCUGGGAAUAAUCAGAUAGCACUGUGGGCUGAACAUGCAUGUAACCCAAGUUCUCCCAGGAGAGGGGCUUCUAACGGGGCUACUGAACGCAUGAGUGUUAAAGUUGGUUCACUUUUCUUUAAAACAAAAUACAUUCCAAAUAUAUGUCAGACCCCCAGCUGUUUUUUUUUUCCAGAGGGAGACUGUUGAGUUGACAGACAAACAGAAAUAUGAAAAGAAUAAGAGUGAUGGAAUGUUAUAAUAAUAUCAAGAUGCUUUAGAUGUGUAUUGCUCACAAUUCUCAUACUAUACCGUAUCUUUCUCCAUUUCUGUUUCGACAAUAAGCUUUGCAUGGCUGAGAUCAUUCUUCGGUUGCUGAUAAACUCUAUACAGAGUGCCACAGGAACGGCUGAAUCAAUCUAUAACAAGGCUAGGCCAUUUUGUAUGGGUCCACAAAUCAGCCCAUUCCAUCCUGUUUAUGCAUUGGGUUUUUGUUUUUAAAAAUCUGCAUAGAAAUUCAAAUUUAAGUUCUUUUUUAAAGAUGCAUUUUUAUUUUAUGUAAAUCAGUAAGUAUUGUUUUAAAUUGUACUUGGAUAUGCUGUUUUUCAGUAUUAGGUCUGCAUCAGAGCAAACUCCAGUGGAUAACUAAGAUCCAGACUGCCCAUUAAUCCAAGAAGGAAGGAUCAGGUAAGUUCAGAAUUUUCAGAGCUCAAAUUAUACCAUUAUCUCUAGGAUGAAGCUACAAUGGGCAAUUUCCUUUAGCAAUAAAUGGGUUUGAUUACUAUUCUUUCAACCUUUGCAGUGAAAGGGAAUAUGAGGCCGCUAUCUUAAAACACGUUCAGAAUCCUCACCUCCAGUGCAUCUACAUUUCUUUCCAGUGUUAACAGUUUGAUAAUAAAGAGUACAUCACAUGAGUUGAUGCCACGGUGAUGCUCUAACUCCCCAUCUGCUGUGGAGACAGGUAAGUGGGUGUGGCAAUGCAGAAUCCAGGCUUCUGCAGACCAUGGCACAUGCACACGCACACACACAUUUGUAGCAGAUAAAAGUAAAAGCAGUGCACACCUGGCCCCUUUCAGGAUUUCCACAUGGAUAUGUCAAAACAUGAAGAGAAAGAUCACCCACAUCAUAUCUCAGAAACCUUGGGCUUUGCCUUCCUAUUUGCAUGUUGACAUAGACUGCCCCAAGGAAUAAGAUCAUAUCAGAAAGAGCCAGCCCUAAAUACGACAAGCUUAAAAUAAUGUGGAAUGAACAAUACAGCUGAUGAAGGAAAAGCCUGAUGCCUGAAGUCUUAGGUAGGGUUUAGUUCUUGUCUGAUGUUUAAGUUUGAGGUAGGCAUUCACAUCUGCUAUAUUUGUUGGUGUUGCUUUGAGAUGAGACAAAAGGCCUUUUGUCUCAUCACUUUUUAGUUACAUGAAGUUCAUGUCACAACUGAGUGAUAUCCGGCAUAUGUCUAGUCAUCUUUCCUAUGUGUGCUGAAAUGGUAUUUCGUUCCAGUGAAACCUAUGAAUCUAUUAAGGUAUAUGCCAGUGUGGUCAAAAUAGACUCCCUAAGUGCAGAAAUGGCUCUAACUGGGUUUUGUUUUGCUCUGUAGACCCUCUGCUGAGUAUGAGCAGAACUUUGCAUAGUUCAGUCAUGUUUCAACCCAGAGCCACUAAAGGAGAUUCUGAGAAAUCAGGAAGGAACUGACUUCAGGUUCAAAACUUAAAAGAUGUAGUUUAGAAAUUAAUAGACAAAUGGGCAGAUGGAUGGAUGGAUGGGAAUCAUAAGACUGGAUGCUGGGACUUCAAGCUUGAAAAGAGCUCUUUGCAAGGAGAUUCUUAAGCAAGGAAGCAUUGACUUUGCAGUCACUAUAGCAAAUGGCUUGCCAGGAACUUUGCUGAUCUCUGCCACUUUCCCCCUCCCUGCUAGUGUACAGGAGAAACAAUCCACAAUCCCUGGCUUAGUGAUAUAACCAGAAAGUAGAUUUGUUUGAGUAAAACAGACCACAGCCUGUUCGCCAAGAACAAACAUUGGCUACAGAUCAUCAUUUGUUUGGAAUGAAACAAAUCAUGAAACCCACCUUGGGCAUAAUGGGCUUCUUUUCCCUGGGUGCUAGCAAGGAGGACCAUUACAAUGGUUUACAAUGAAGUGCCCUUAAUAUACAGCUCAAACAUUUUUGGACCCAUUCAGAGUCUAUCUGCAAAAGCAAUCUUUCUGAGAGCCUUUUAAACUACUUUGUCCUCCCCUUAGUCUUCUCUUGAGACUUCUAGUCUGGUGAUCUGUGUUGAUCCAUCCGUGGUCAGGACACCCACAGCUCUCUUCAAGCUCAAUCAGGAACAGGGACUUUUAACAUCAAUACUCUUGAUAAAGAUCUUUGGAUUGACCAAGAUGGUUGCUAGAGAAGUCUGAAACAAGACAUAUGUACACCUCAUGCUCAAAGCCAGGAGUCAAGAACAGUAUUCCAUAAUAAUUAAGGUCUUUUAUAACAUGAACUAAAAAGCUUAUGAGGCACGGGGAACAUACUGUACUUUCAUUUAUGAUGGGACUGUGUACAUAUUUUGGUCCAAAGCACACCACAAUUUUUUAAAGAUUCUCAAGAUUACAAUUUAGAUGAAUCCACGGCUAUCGUUUGUAAAUCUAUGGGGCAAGGAAGCAAAUGACUAUACAUGCAAAAGAACUUUUAGCUGGCUGUUGGCAGCAGCUAGCAUUUCUCUUGUGCAAAAGUGGAAGACAUUGCAAAGUUUACAACUAUCACUGUGGUACAAAAAUGUUUGGCAUUUUCAGAAAAUAAUAAUGCAUACUUGGGAAGUCUCAGAUGGAUUGGCAAACCUGGAACAUCUUUAUGCCAUAUGAUGGGACUUUAUUACUUACACCACUACAAAAGCUGUGCAUAACUCUUUAACUCUACCAAUGCGUGAAAUCUAGGCAUCACAAUAAUACUUUUUGUUACUGAUUCCCUCGUGUUAGUCUCAUCUGACUAUGAACCAACCAUGAGAAUUUGUAUGUUAGAUUCCUCUUUUCUGUUUUGGUAUAUAGUAUAUAAUUUAAUUGAAAACACUUUUAAAUGAUCUAGAAAGCUAAGAAUCAGUACACAUGUGGCAUAAGACAUCACAUCUACUGGAAAUGUCUAAAAAUUGGGUAUUGUGUGUCAAAAUUUGGGGCUUUAAGCAUACUUCAUUUUUGUUAAAUGAAUGCUGAAUUUACUAGCUUUUAUGUGAAAAUUCAACACAUGAAGUGAUAGCUCUUUUUGGUGGCUGUUUUUGUACCACAAGAACUUUUCUCAAACAGGCACCAAUUUCCUUUUUGCUUCUAUGGCUAAUGCACCAAUUUUUGUUCAUCCAUAAUGGGAUUGUUGCCAUAGCAGUGGCUACCCAAAUAGAAUGCAUUAAGCUAUUCUUUCAUUUCCCUCUAAUGUUCUCUGUAAUGUGAUCAAAAUUCUAUUAGGUGCACAACUAAUAUCUACAAAAGAAAAGCAUCAAGAAUGUUGUCAUUCCCCUCAAAUUACUUGCUUUGCAGUCAUAUUGAUUUUAGUGAGACUGCUCUGGAGUCCUUUGUGUCCUACUGAUGUAACAUCUUCUGGGAAGUCUGCUCUGCUAGACUAGGCACAUUUAUUCUUAGAUUUAACUUCACUUGUGGAAACUACGGCGUCAUUUAUGGCUUUUCAUCCCCCCCCCCCCCAUUUAUACCACACCCUAGAAAGUGAGAUAUUGUCCAAGAAUGGAAAAUCUCCAUUCUCUGGCAUGCUGGAUAUAGUUGAGCUUUUGGCAAACAUGAUAGCCCAUCACUCUCUUCCAAAGAACUAUAUUGCAAAGUCCAGGAUGAAAGGUUGCCAGGGAGAUUUCAGAAAGCUUUAUUUCCUGAUGCAAACAAUCAAGUUCAUCCCAUUUGCCGAAAGGAGUAUAAGUAUUAAGGGCUCAACUUGCACGUUACAUAUGAAUAUGUGCAAGGGACAGCCGAACAGUGCUCGCCUUUUCUGAAAAGCAGUGUUGGGAGGGGUGAUUGGAAGAGGAAAAGCAGCAGAGGAGAGAUGGUUUCCCAUUUCCCCACCCAUUGCUUUACUCCUUAAAAACCUAGGGAUGUAGGUGUAGCUGUUGUCUAAACCACUGAGCCUCUUGGGCUUGCCGAUCAGAAGGUUGGUGGUUCGAAUCCACGCAAUGAGGUGAGCUCCCAUUGUUAUGUCCAGCUUCUGCAAACCUAACAGUUCUAAAUCAUACCAGCGCAAGUAGAUUAAUAAGUACCACUGCGGUGGGAAGGUAAACAGAAUUUCCACGCCCUCUGACAAUUGUCACGGUGUUCCAUGGCACCAGAAGCAGUUUAGUCAUGCUGGCCACAUGACCCAGAAAGCUGUCUGUACACAAAUGCCAUCUCCCUCAUCCUGAAGCAAUCCCAUAGUUGCCUUUGACUGGACUUAAUCGUCCAGGGGUCCUUUACCUUUUUACUGAAAAACUUCCAAGCCAAGGCAUCCCACAUCUGCAGGUGUGUGUUCUGUCUUUCAGAAACAUGUAUGUAACCUUGUGGCUCUGGAGGGAGAUGUUUUGCUCAGGCAUGGUGUAAGGCAGUCACCACCAAUCGUAUCAAGCCGAUUGGCACAUCUGCAAACAAAAGCAUGUUCCAUUCAGUUCAAUGUGAAAAAGCAAAACAUUGAAUUGAUUGAGUGAUUGUUUGAUUUCCACACCGCUAAAUAAAUUUGAAAUAUCUCUAAGCAGUGUGCAGAAAACUGAAGCAACAACAGACAACUUAAGUUUUUUUUACAAAAUACAGUGUUACAUAUAAAAGUGUUACAUUAAUACAAAGUUACUAAUAUAUUUGUAAAUCAAUAUUGAUUCAUUUUACUUCUGACUGAUACACCCUCCCUCUCAGCCUCUGGCUUCUCACCCAGGGUCCAACAAUCUUUCAUCUCACCCACAAAAGUUUCAUGAGAAGAGCUCCUAGAAGCAGCAGAUAUCACCUUGGUCUCUCACUCUAGACUUGCUUUUUAUGGGCAGGCCCAAGGUGGAUGGUACUUCCUUAGGUUGUCCACAGAUGUGUCCCAUUCAGAUGCACUAGAAAGCACAGGUGCCAGCUGCUUUCAGUUUGCCCCACACUUCUUAGGCAUGGGUCUGUGCAAUUUUCCGUUUGCCACACUGCUUUCUCCAGGAAAACUAAGUCUUCCUAUGGAAAACCCAAUUGAUAUCUGCUCCAAUUCAGCUUUAAAGAUGGGAUUUUCCCAGGGGAAAGUGGUGGGACAAGCUGACUGAGCCCCUAGUCUAAGAUUACAGGGACACUCUGGGAGAGUUGCUCUACCCAAGGAUUUCUGCAAUGUAUGUCCUUUUGAUCCGUAGAUGUUCUUCUGGUGCAGUGUCUGUGUGUGUGAGAGAGAGAGAAAGAGAGAGUGAGAUGCCAAGAUCUGAGUUUGGGGCAAACACUCUUUGGUGAGAGAACCCCACUACCUAUCACAAUGGUGGACAUUUGCUAAUACUCAUAAAAGUCCUAAAGGACAUGCUUAUUAAAGCCAAGCAUGCAACUUGGGUCGUAUGUGUGUAGUGAUUCAUAAGCAGCCGCCUUCAUAUCUAAUAAUAGAAAGCAACUCACAAAGUAAAUUUAAAGUUUAAACCCACUCCAUCCCUACCCAUUGACCGAACCCAAAGGGUGCUCAUCAAUGGUUCCUCUUCAUCCUGGAGAAGAGUGACUAGUGGGGUGCCACUGGGUUCUGUCUUGGGCCCGGUCUUAUUCAACAUCUUUAUCAACGACUUGGAUGAUGGACUCAAGGGCAUCCUGAUCAAAUUUGCAGAUGACACCAAACUGGGAGGGUGGCUAAAACCCCAGAGGACAGGAUCACACUACAAAACGACAUUUACAGAUUAGAGAACUGGACCAAAACAAACAAGAUGAAUUUUAACAGGGAGAAAUGUAAAGUAUUGCACUUGGGCAAAAAAAUUGAGAGGCACAAAUACAAGAUGGGUGACACCUGGCUUGAGAGCAGUACAUGUGAAAAGGAUCUAGGAGUCUUGGUUGACCACAAACUUGACAUGAGCCAACAGUGUGACGCGGCAGCUAAAAAGCCAAUGCAAUUCUGGGCUGCAUCAAUAGGAGUAUAGCAUCUAGAUCAAGGGAAGUAAUAGUGCCACUGUAUUCUGCUCUGGUCAGAUCUCACCUGGAGUACUGUAUCCAGUUCUGGGCACCACAGUUCAAGAAGGACACUGACAAACUGGAACGUGUCCAGAGGAGGGCAACCAAAAUGGUCAAAGGCCUGGAAACGAUGCCUUAUGAGGAACGGCUAAGGGAGCUGGGCAUGUUUAGCCUGGAGAAGAGGAGGUUAAGGGGUGAUAUGAUAGCCAUGUUCAAAUAUAUAAAAGGAUGUCACAUAGAGGAGGGAGAAAGGUUGUUUUCUGCUGCUCCAGAGAAGCGGACACGGAGCAAUGGAUCCAAACUACAAGAAAGAAGAUUCCACCUAAACAUUAGGAAGAACUUCCUGACAGUAAGAGCUGUUCAACAGUGGAAUUUGCUGUCAAGGAGUGUGGUGGAGUCUCCUUCUUUGGAGGUCUUUAAGCAGAGGCUUGACAACCAUAUGUCAGGAGUGCUCUGAUGGUGUUUCCUGCUUGGCAGGGGGUUGGACUCGAUGGCCCUUUUGGUCUCUUCCAACUCUAUGAUUCUAUGAUUCUAUGAUUCAUUGUCUCUUUCUUCCCAUUCUGGCUGCCCUUCAUCCCUGUGUCUGUUGGUUCAUAUCAUAAUUACCUGUCUAUCAUAGGCACAGUGAUGUUUGUCUAUUAUGGAUGUGGCAAUAAUAGAAGUUCUGUAUCAUUGUUUUAUGCUUUUGUUUGGAUGACCGAAACUCAUACAUGCAGCCAAAAAGUACAAAGGUUGAUACACCAGUGCAGAAAACAAAUCAUACGGACAUGGUGCUAGGCAGUACAUGAAGCAAUAUCUGAUACCUCUAUCAAAUUACCCUUGUGAUUCUAUUUGAUUCUAGUUUGAUUUCCACCAUUCUAUUGGAUUCUAGUUUGAUUUCCACCAUUUUAGAAAAAUGUUUCACUGUGUUCAAUUAAUUUAUUUUCGGAAUGCUAAGCCGCAGGUGGAACAUAUGGAAAGUUGAGUAGAUCAGUGCUCUUGGCUAUUUUCAUUAAAUGAUUCUCUUUUAAGUUCCUAAUUGGGGGGGGGGGAUAUUUUGUUUCAAUUAGAUCAGAGCCACUUGCUGAUCAUGUGACAUUUUGAUACAGAUUAAUCAAUUACAGCUGCCUCCAAACAGCAUGACAACAAUAUUGAAUGAAGCUUAAAACCUGCAUCUCAUCAAGUUCCACAAGGAGGCAUCAAUUUCUGAUUACGCCAUUCAUUUUCUCCCUAUUGCUUGAGGCCUCUCAUGAUUUACCAUCUGUAAAGCCUUAACUGACAUCAUGCAGGAGAGAAUGCAAGUCAUAGGAUCACAAUUACUUUUGUCAAUUAUGCAACAUGGCUGCAAUCCACAACCUCCUUCAGCCAGGUAUAUAGCUUGCCCAAAUAUAACACUUGAGUAUCAUUGAAGCAUGGCAUGGAAAUGAGAUCAUCCAUACCUGCCCUACACUCCAGACUAGUCAUCUCCUUCCUUGCCUGAUUGGUGCACAUUUGUUUUAAUAUUAAAUGGCAUGCACACAAGUGAUAUACAUACCCAACUCCCAUACAUUUUGCACACACAUGAGACUAGUUACUGGGUUCAAUGGAACUUGAUUUGCACAAGUUUAGUUGCAGCAUCUUACAAUGAGGUAAUGAAAGACAUAUGCUGCCACCACCAUUAUGAGUUUUUCUCUCUCGUCUUCUUGGUAAUCACAAGUAUAACAUAGUGACGGACACAGAAAAGAGUCAGGUUGUAUGUAAAAUAAAAAAAGGAGAAAGUGAAAGACACCAAUUAUCAGAUUCAUCUGUCCCUGUUCUGAGGUCAUUCUGCCUCAUACACACACACACACACACACACACACACGUAUGCAUGUACAACUGAAAUCUGAACACAUGUCAGUUUUCUGGGCUAAACAAGUAACUUUUAUUAGACAGAAGGACUGGAAUAACUUCAACUAAAUUUUAACAGGAUUACGGAACAGUCAUCCAGAAUGCUACAUUAAAUAUAACUAUGAAAGCUAAUUUGACAGGUGUUCAGAUUUUGGUUGCACUAAUAGGCCUCAAAUUUCCAUUUAGUAAUACUUUAUAUACUGAAUAUCAUAGGACUUUGGCUAGGCAGUUUUACGUUUCUGACUUAUUUGGUUUGGCUCGUGUUACAUUUAAAAUACUCUAUCAAUUAAUAGAAAUGAGCAAGAAGUAAUUUUCUUCAUUCCACGCCAAAUAUUGCCUUUUGACUUGAUUGAGGGAAAACAAACAAACCCAGAAACGAGGUUAUGUUAUUACACCCUUCCAGAUAAAAAUGUAGUGGAGCAUAAAGGAUAUGGAAAUAUCUGAAACAGAGAGCCCCCAAACUCUCUGCAAUCAGGCUUCAAAGUCACAGAAAACUGCAAGCACAUUCAUCUGGAUGGUCUUACAAUCCACCUCGGACCUUCCCACUCAACAUGCAAAGGUUGUAGUGGUGUGCACAGUCCAACGGUACCUUCAUUGAUCUAAUCAAUAAAUGCUUGAGCAAGAUAGCGAGAUAACCAAGUAUCUUCUAUCAACUCCCACUAAGAAAAUAUUGGCCAUCCAUUCUAGGUUAUGAACUCCUAAACAAAGGAACAGUCAACCAGCAGCCAUAACAAUACUCUAUUUUUAUGUUACCUGUUCAGAGACAAAGAGAUAAACAAUUUGACCUCCUCCUUACUACUUUGUUUGUAUUAGAUACCAACUAGUAGAAUAAGUUUGAAUGUCAGAAUGUGAAUCAUAAGAAUGGGUCCUCAAAUUAGGAGAAGACCUAGAGUUUUUUCAGAUGUGGGGAUUAUUGUGUUAGUUUUCCCAGUCAUAAUGCUGGAAUUUUUAUCCUGGCUUUUAACUUCCUUUUACAUUGCACUUACCUGCUUUACCUGGUAUUUUAUGGAACUGUGGCUUUUGGACUGAUAUAAUGUCAUGUCACACUAACUUUUAAAUGGCAGGAAAGAUCUGCAUGCCAGAAUACUGCUCCCAAUUUUAUCACAUGAAAUUACAAUGCAAAACCUCUGUGAUUGUCUGGGUUAACUGGGUUGCAAAGAGAUUUCUUUCUGGAAGCAAAUAACACAGGAAAGGGUGCUAAACUUCUGCUAGAUUCUGCUAUUUUCCCAUAAGUAGUGUUUACAUUCUCUUAGAGAUUAUAUAAAAUGUGGAAAUUAUCAGGCAAGGAAACGUCUGGAAAAUGGAAUAAAGUGCUGUCUGAGUGCAGCCCUAACAUGAUAGAUUCAGAUUUUGCAGGCGGGGCUUAGCAUAAAAUAAAUGGUACACUGGAGAAAACCUCCAGUAAUUACUUUUCCUAAGAAAGGGACCCUGGAAAGAAAAUGGAACUGUGACAGUUCAUUUUCCAGACAACUACUGUUUUCACUGCACUGUUUCUUGCAAGUCUAUGACAAAAUCAUGGCAAGAGCUGGGAAAGGAAAUCUUCAAUAAAUAUUUUUCCUAAUGGAAAAUGCUGUUAUGAAAAAUCCUCUUUUUCUGGAUGCAAUUUUGCUAAAUGACAUACAAUGUCAACAAAGCAAGAAAAUGAAUUUCAGACUGCUAAAAAGGUGUUGGAACAUGUUUCACUGACAUAUUUGAAACUGCAUUCCUAUUUCCUAACUAGGGGUAGAAACUGUUCAGAUAGUUAAAAUAAGUCCCGUUCUCAGACUUCAAUAGACUCAGACCUGGACUGUGAAAUUUUGUUUAAAAUUUAUUUUCAAAUUUCUCAGACAGCAAAGGACCUUGAAUCUAAAAAUCUACUUCUCAGAGUACUUCAUGUUUGAAUUUACUUACGUACAGAUAUGCCUAAUCAAUCAAAUGCAGUGGACAAAGACAUUCAAUCUGUUUUUCUUCAGUUGGCUUGGAUCUGCUGUUCAGAUGAUGAUCAAAACAAACCAUAUCCUCUCUGUGUGGAAAAUACAUUUAUAUAAGGUAUGCAAAACAGGAUGUGACAAAAUUCUGGAGAGAAAGCACAACACUGCCUGCGCAUGGGGUUCUGGUAUAAAUCAGUCUUCAGCACUGGGAUUCAUGUUGGAGGCUACACCAACUGCUUCGUUCAGCAAAUGCUAAGGGAAUAGGGCAAGCACAAAAAAUGUGGGGGGAUCAAUGACAUCAUGGAUUUACAUUGUCAAGGAAUGACAUCACAGUUGCUUUCAGUUAAGCAAGAAUAUUCCCUGCAGUGGUUUGUUCAUUCGAGUGUUUCCUUGAUUAAUAAACAGCAGUAAUGACUUGUUUAAGGUGUGUUCUAUACUAAUGUGGUGCUAAAGCAUAUAUCCAGCAUUUUGAAAAAGCAUUCCCUAUCAAUUAAUGAGAAAAGAAAUUACAUUUGAAAACUAUCAAAGGGGAGAGGGAAAAUGUAUGAAAUUCUCAUAGGUGAGGUGCAGGUUUCUUCAUGCACUGAUCUUACUUUUGAUGUGAUUUAGCGGAGUUCUAGUGGAGUUUUUUCUUUCUAUAAAUCAUCUUUCCCAUGGUGUACACUCUGCAGCCUCCCCAGGUGCAUGCACUCCCAUUAAAACCAGGGGAAGACUUCAUGACUUAAGUCUGUCUAUGGGAUGUUUUCAGAUCAGGAAGCCAAGGAGGCUGCAGAGUGCUGCAAAUGUGUUCACUGGAAAGAAAUAUGCUUAUGCCGCCCUUGGCUACCUUGUGAUAGGAAACUCUGCACCACUGGUAUUCUAAAGAAAUUCUACAAUGCUCUGAGCAUUUUUUUUUUUUUAAAUGGAAGCCUCUUUCACAGGGGGAGGAAGCUUUUGAGAAAUUUGAGGGCAAAUUUUGGCACAUCACUAGUUAGAGCACAUGACAAAGGUCCCAGGUUCAUUUCCAGACAGGGCUCAGAAAGGCUCCUAUGUGAAACUGUAGGGUGUGUCUCUGAAAAGGAUUGACUAUGUACUCCCCUUUGAUGCAAAUUCUUUUUUCAUCAAGUGAAGGAGGAGGAUCGAAAAAAUGCAGGAGAAAUGUUCAGUAUAGAACUAGCACUGCAGCUCAAUCCAAACCUUCCCCAGUUACUUGUUUAGACAGCAUCCACUGCUAAAGUAAUGUGGAGGUGGCUGUUCUCCUGACCUGGAAAUGGUUCUGUCCUGUUUCCCUUCUGGGGGGCCAAAUCCAAGUGGUAGGAGGGGCCAGAGGCAGAUGUGAGCACAGCAACAAAGGUAAAUUUUACCUUUGUGCAGUAGGCUAGUUUCUACCCACAACUCUCUUGUUCUCCAUCUAGGCAAGCAAAGGGCAUGGUCAGACUUCAGGGGCAUGUCACAGGCAAGCAAAAACACUUGAGGAUGUGAAGCAGGACUGCUGAGAGCAUGACCUGGGGAGGCAGAGCAUUGCUGGGAAGUGGGUGUGAUGUGGGGGAGUCCUGAGGGCCAGAUAGAAAUGCUUGGUGAGCUGCAUUUGGUUCACCACCCCUGCUCUACAAUCUACCUUCACAACCUGCUACCUCCACAACUUGUACACUGACUGAGAAAAAGGGCUUACAUGAACUACAAAGCUUUGAAGACACCUACACAGAAGCUCUGUAACAUUAGCCCUUUCACUGAAAUGCACACGGAUUUCUAUUAAUUAUACAAACAGAUAAUCAACAAUGAGCAUUUUGUUUCAUGAGAAACGUCUCCAUUUGGGUCAAUUCUCUCUAUGAUUACUUGCAAACAUGUUAUCAUAUCCCCCACAUAGACCAAAACCGAAGUCAUCCCUCACUCACAUGUACAUUACUGUGGGAGUGGGAGAUUGAAUUCCCAAGUGGCUUUCCACUAUAACUAGGCCUGGGCAUUAAAAUUUCUGGAGGCCAGUAUGAUGAGGAGCAUAGAUGAGCCAGCAGAACCAAACAGAAAUGGAAAGCACUUUCCUGAACGCUCAUAAUCAAACCAAGGGAGGUUCUCUCAUCUCUCCCUUCUAGAAUUUGACCCUCUUCCUAAUGUAUUCAUUGCAUCACAACUGGAACAGAACCUGUGAAGCCAUUUCUUUUUUAAAAUAUAUGGAGAUAUAGUAACACUUCUAUCCUACUAAAAUACCACUAUUAAUAACAAUAAUGUUCACAUUUGCAUUCUGUAAGGCAAAUCUCCCUCAUUUUCUUUCACUGUCUGGGUUUCAACAAGUUGCAAACAUACCUGAAUCUCAAGUCCCCUCGUUCUCUCAACAUCCGUAGAACAAGUGCAACUUUGACCAAUGGUGUGUGCCCUUUACAAUGUUGGAGACAUUAGGCUUUUAUUGGAGGAAAGCAGGGGAUUGCAGCUGGCGGAUGAAGGCAAAUCUAUGUAAAGACAAUAGAGAGAGAACACCCCCCCCCAAAAAAAGACCCUGUAAAACAACUCACUUGAGGAAGUUAUUCAUAGUUGUCAGAAUAUGAAUCCUCAGGUGUUUUGUUUUUACUGUUAAAUUAGUAGUGUUUGUAAUAAUUAUGAGUAAUGCAAGUCAAGCAAAUCCUUGAACACAUAUUGAUGCUGGAACAAGGUCCAUAUUUGUCAAAGGCAGCAACUUCCAGAUGUGUGUGUGGUACAUUAGCCAGGAUUUUUCCAUCCUGAGAUUGUACACUAUCCCAAAUGCUCCUUUCUUCAUAGAGCCUUGAUAGUGAAAAAGUCUACAGAGCUUUCUAGGAUUAUGUUUCCCUCAAUAAUAUUUAAAUCAGCUGUCCUGAACCUGGUGUCCUCCAGAUGUUUGGACUACAAUCCACAUCAGCCCCAGCCAGCAUGACCAAUGGUCAGGAAUGGUGGGACUAAGGGAAGUACUGUAGCUCAGUGGUACAGCAUCUGCUUUAUGUGAAGAUGGAAUCCAGAACUGGAAAAGAUUUCCUGCCUGAAACUCUGGAGAGCUGCUAGCAGUCAAUGUGGACAAUAUUGAGCUAGGUAGACCAAAGGUCUGAUUCAGCAUAAGACAGCUUCCUAUGUUUCUGGAGUUGUAGUCCAAAAUAUUUGGAAGGCACCAGGUAGAGGAAGGUUGCUUUAGACCCUUAAAAACUAUUCUUGAGGAACUAUUUCUCUGCACAUGUUGCAUUGACAUAAGCAUCUCAGAGUGUGCUUGAGAGAGCAGGUUGAGCAGGAACACUUUUCCCCAUUGGGAUGACUUCAUUUAUGGUGAAAGCACCACCAUAUGUAGUCCUUGAAGACGUCAGAGCCCAUCCCAUUCAUUUCUUUUCUUUUUCAACCAACAAGUGGCAAUGCAGUUACUAAAUCAAACAGCCUGAAACAUCAUGGGGAGGAGAAAUCAUACAUGAAUCAGUUUUUGAAAAGGAAGCUUCAGAGAAUACUAAAGGUUAAUCUUUGUCAACUUCUUCCCUGGAAUAUUUCGCUUCUCUGCAAUGUGUUCAUGCUAAACCAUGUCUCCUCUUAAAAAAGAAAGAGCUACAAUCUACUGACAGCUAAGUAUGACCUAGUAGGUUAAGGAUGAGAAACUGAAUAUACAUAUAUUCCCGAAAUCCUUGCAAAUAAAGUUUGGCCAUUUUUUUGGUCAUCUGUUACAGGUCUUUACUUCUGAAUAGGCAGGGCAAGACAGCGAUCUGGGUGCAUUUUCAUUUUGCAGCUCAGUUGAAGUGCUCUUUUAUAUCAUACUCUCUUUUUUUAACCAUGUGUGCUGAGGUAUUGCUUGCACACUUUUUUAUUUUAUCUUAGCAUUUAAAGUUUAAUAUUAUUUUAAAAUCUCAAAUGAUUUUAAAAUCCUAGGGCACUAUCCUUCGGCAGCAGUGGGACUUAUGUGAGCACCACAUCGGAAGUGGGGAGAAGGCAAGAAAAUUGCUCAUGUUUCUUGUUCCAGCUUCACGCUGGUGCAGCAAACAAGCUUGGAUCAAGUCUUCACCACAACCUGCCAGUAGCUGAAUUGGCUUGGGAACCAGAAGAUCCUUGGCUGGCUCAGCUCUGCUGCCAAAACACCCCAUUUGGUGGUUUCAGCCAACCACCCCAGCAGAGAAAACACUGAUGGUAGCUUCUGCUUGCCUGUGCUUUGGGCCAGGGGAGCUCCUAUGGCAAGGGAGCCUCUCUCCCAGUGGAGCCUAGCAUACUCAGUGGCACAGCCAGGCAGUGCUGAGCAGAGGGACAGCUCUGCCUAAUCCAUAUCCACUCCAGCACUAUCUCUCUGUGUCUCAUCUUUCUUCCAUUGCAGAACUCAAAGCAAGAUAUAUUAUGGCUACCAGACAUCCUCGUUUCCCGGGAACAGUCCCCGGAUUUACAAAUCUGUCCCCGGAAUGUCCCCUGAAUUCAUUUAAUGUCCCCAGAUUUAUAUUUUAAGUGUUGUAGAUUUAUUAGUAGGGAAUGAAUGUUGUGUGAUUGAUUAACGACACAUCAUAUGGGGACUUCCAGCGAGGCAACUUGGCGGGCGCCAUGGCAGCGAUCAGCUCCUGAAGCCAGCCAGAGCCAACUGCGCUGCCAGGCUGGCUCCAGGCUGCUGAGACUGCCGCUGCCACUGCCACUGCUGAGGAGGAACCGGGGACACCCGGUCCAUCAACUGAGGGAACUGCUGACCCCCCCAACACAAAUCAAGCCAGGAGCAAGAGUGCCGGGCCAACUGCCCAGCGGCACUCCAGGGCCAGGAAAACUCUGGAGCUGACGCAGGGAGAAGGAGGAGAGGAGAAGGAGAAGGGAGAGAGAAAGAGGAAGGAGAAAAAAGAGGGGAGCCCUGACCUUGCCACGCUGCCGCUGAAGAGGAGAGGUAGGAGAGCACCAGGAGGGCAAGGAUAUGUGGCCAAGCCCAGGCCCGACCCAAGCCUACUCCACGGCAGCUAGCACUCCAAGAGAGCAGGCCGGGGCCCAGAGGAAGGCCACGCGACAGAGGAGACCACAGAAGAGAAGAUAUUACUUCUUAAUUAUUUAUUUUAAAUAACUUUUUUUAAUAACUUUUUUCUCUUUUUUUUUAAAAAAAGUGUCCCUGGAUUAUUUGAAAAAAAUCUGGUAACCUUAAAAUAUAUGCAGUUCCCACUCGGUCUCCUGUCCAGCAACUGAGCAGUUCCAGACCUGAUCAGCUUCAGCAAGAUGGCUGCAUCAUAUAAACACAUAAAUCUGAAAACAGAACCACAAAGAUCACAGUCUUCAUGCUGCUUACCCCAAAAUAUUGCUGAUAUACUAUCAUGCACUCCCCACUUCCCCAAAUGGUGAGAAGUUCCAGAAGCAGCAUGACAGCUUUUAGCUUCCUUGGGAUUAGAGCAGUAAAGACUUACAACAUCUUUGCGAUAUUUACUUUAUUUACAAACCCAGCAUAUGUGGAGGUCAACAGGCAUUCAUAUAUAUGCAGACAGCACAGCCUACAUCAAUUUUCCAGGGAGCAACUUGUUUCUCAUCCUCCAUGUCCCUUGGCUCCAUCCCAGUUUGCCAGAAUUCAACAGAAGCAGAUUCUAAAUUUCAGCUUAUUCCAGCUAGAAAUUCUCCUCUCUUAUUUCUCUCUCUCUCUCCCCUUGUUCAAUCAUUCCCUACUCAAUUAUCAAUGGUGCGAGCAGGAGACUAGGGCCACAUUAUCUGGCCCUGACCCCACCAUUUCAUCUCCAUCAACACUGCCUCCCUGCUGUCCAUGCAUUAUGGAGGAGCCUCUAUUGAGGUGAGCCUGUUCUAUGUUCAUAAGCUGCUCCCCCUUGGGAUGUAAAUCACACAUCAUGGGAGAAGCGUAGGCCCAUAGAAAAGGUUCCACUGUACAGAAGUUCCUCCCCAACAUGCUAAACUAUGGAAUUCGUUUCCAAAAGUUAUAGUGUUGACCACCAACAUGGACGGCUUUAAAAGAAGAUUAGAGAAAUUCCUGAGGAUAAAGCUGUCAGUGGCUACUCACCAUGGUGGUUAUGUUCUGCAUUUGCUGUUGGAGGCAGUAUGUUUCUGAAUAUCAGUUAGUGGAAACUGUGGGAGGGGACACAGUCAUCUACUGUCCUUUGAUUCUCUCAAAGAAAGAAAACCCAAGCAGGAAUGUUGUUUGGGGGAAAACUGAGAAUCACUCUGAAGAGAUGGGAGAUACCUACAGGCAAAGGAUUGCAUUUCCAAAAUAUGGAAUCUGCAUUUAUGGUUAACAAAAUUUGGCUUAAUCUUAUACCAGUUCCAAGAAUCUACAGUUUGCUUAAAUUCAAAUGACUGUUUCUAAAUCACGUUUGGUAAACAAAGAAAACCCAAGCAUUCUUCUCUGGCCUGAUUAGAGCACUGAAGGCAUGGUGCACAUUAUGGCCAUGAAUUGUUUUCAUUCCCCACAUUCAUAUGCAAAUUAUCCAUUUAUCAUCAUCUCAGUCGAAGAACACAUAACAGAUGCCUAAAUGUUUCUUAUCAUGUACACAAUCUGAGCAUUCAUACUUGCGGGGUGGGGUGGGGGUUAUGUGAAAUACCUUGAGAUUUAGAAAAAAUUAUUGGAUUUAUAAGCAAUGGUGGUUGGCCAUGUUAUGUACCCUUCUAUGAAAUUUGCUUGGAGCUUCUUGCAUUUAAUAAGGUUCUUAUUUAACACUAAUGCCAUCUAAGCCUGUUUUUCAUUUUUGACUUUGAAUAGAUGACACUUAAGUUAAUAGCUUAUAGGUUUUUCUCCUUUUGUGUGCCAUCCAAAUGACUUAUCCUACAUAUGUGCUUGUGAUUACAAAUCAGCAAAUAAUUCAUAACAUAUUCCAUUGGGGACACAUCUAAAAAAAAGACCACGUGAGUCUCUGAUGUAUUCAUAGUAACUUAGUAAAGCAACUUUAGCAAAUAAUCCUUUAUGUCUAGUUUACAGGCAUUUUUCUUGAGUAAGUUAUUAGUCAUACAUUGAGCUAGCUUGAUUGCAUCUACAAAGUCAGCUGGUAAUGAUUCCCCCCCCCGCACUGUUUUUACAACAGGGGUCUAUAUAAAAAAGCAAGAGCAUUUCACUGAUAAUGCCAUAGAUUUUAAGCACCUCACCCAGUGGCAGAUACUGUAUUAAAGGCCUGACACAUAGGGAUGUAAGAAUGCUGUUUCUGUUCUGACUUGUAUUAAUCAUUUGUAUUACGGUAUUUUAAUAUUUUGUUGGAAGCCGCCCAGAGUGGCUGGGAAAGCCCAGCCAGAUGGGCAGGAUAUAAAUAAUAAAUAAUUAUUAUUAUUAUUAUUAUUAUUAUUAUUAUUAUUAUUAUCAUCAUCAUCAUAACCAUCACUAUACAGUGGUACCUCGGGUUACAUACGCUUCAGGUUACAGACUCCGCUAACCCAGAAAAAGUGCUUCAGGUUAAGAACUUUGCUUCAGGAUGAGAACAGAAAUUGUGUUCCGGUGGCACAGCGGCAGCAGGAGGCCCCAUUAUCUAAAGUGGUGCUUCAGGUUAAGAACAGUUUCAGGUUAAGUAAGGACCUCUGGAACGAAUUAAGUACUUAACCCGAGGCACCACUGUAAUCACUUUUCCUCUUCUGCCGCAGUUUGGUUUCUGCCAAUUCUAUAUUAUUUGUCUUGCUAUCGUAUUUUACUUUUUAAAUAUAACCUUUUUAUUAACUUUUAAAAUUUUACAAAUUCUUUUAAACAACCCUCAGAAUAAAUCUCUCAUAUCUGUUGACUUCCCAUCCAUAUAUUAUAUUAUACUUCCGGUUGGUGCCAGCAGCAAUGGCUGACCUCCUUUGAAGAUUCGGAGGGGGUAGCUCGGCGGGAGAUCGGGUCCUGUGCGCUCCGGCGAAGCGGGGACCCUCAGAAAUCGCAGGCGCGGACGCCUGCGAACGUGGAGGCUCGGCGGGCACCUUGAAGCGCCCCCACCUGGAAAGAAGCCUUUUGGGGCUUCGUAAGGGAGCGGGGAGAGAAGCGCGGUGCUGCGAGCGGAUCGCUGCUCCCGCUGAGUGAAGCCGCGUUGCCGUUGCUGGAGAGCGCUGACUUAUUCCUGAGAAAUUCGGACUUAAAAACUAACCGUGAGUAGAGGAAUUGGAUAAAAAGACUAGAAUUUGGACUAAUUUGGAACUUGGGUAAAAAGCAGAAAAGUUUAAAGCCUUUAAAAAUGACUGAAUUGGCUACCGCGGUGGAAGCUUAAACAGGAAGUCGGCUUCACUGCGUUGUGUAAAGAACAAAGCAAAGAGAUUUGAAGCUAAACGUGAAGAAUUGAAUUGAAAUAAGUGUAAUCUUCUAACCUGAGGACUUUGGAGGGAUCUACCCUUAAGAGAAUUAAGGGAAAGACUCUUGAUUUUAUAGGACUUUUUAGAUUGAAAGAUUAAAGGAGUGAUCUGUCACCCAGCUGUCAAAGCUGUCAAAAUCGCUAAAGCAGUCUGCUGGCUGUAAAGGAGAUACAGAGUGGCCAGCUUCACUGAGAAAGAUUGGAAAGGACUGAAAAGUUAUAUUGUAGCUUUUACUUUGGACUCUUUUUUUCCCUCUUACUGAGUAUCUCUCCCUUGCCGUUUUAAAGACAGUAACUUGUUAAGGAAAAAAAAGGGAAACCAACGCCACCGACAGACAUAGAAAAUCUGCUUGGGGCUGCUGGAGGAGAAGGAGAGUAGCUACAAAAUGACACUACAAAUUUUAAGUUGGAACAUUAAUGGUCUAAAUUCGUCGGCUAAAAGGGGAAGAGUAUUUCAUACAUUGAAAAAAGAACAUUUGGACUUGAUUUGUUUACAAGAGACUCAUGUGACAAGGCUGCAUCGGAAAAUUCUGAUAAAUAAAAGAUUGGGAGAGGAAUUUAUUUCAUCGGACAAUGUUAAAAAAAGAGGGGUAGUACUUUAUGCGAAGGAAAGCCUGUCACCAAAAUUCAUAUUUAAAGAUGAUCAAGGAAGAUACAUAGCAAUUGAAAUUCAAUUCCAAGGACAGAAAUUUUUGAUAUUAGGAGUAUAUGCACCAAACGAGGGAAAAUCAGAAUUCUUUAAGAAAUUGCAUGAAACUCUUCUGGACUAUUUGGAUUACAAUAUUAUUUUGAUGGGAGAUAUGAAUGGAGUAGUGUCUACAAAUAUGGACAAGGCCCAAAGACAAACAGUGACAAAAGAUGGAAGAUUACCAAAGACAUUCUUUGAAAUGACUGACAACAUGGAUCUGGUGGAUAUUUGGCGAACAAAGAACCCCUUGGAAAGAGAAGGAACCUUCUUCUCUGAAGCAAAUAUGACAUGGACAAGAAUAGACCAAAUCUGGAUAACUAGAGGACUGGCUCCUAAAAUCAAAAAAGCAGUGAUUUGUCCGAAAAUCUGCUCCGAUCACAAUCCAGUAAAGAUUGAAAUGACAUUAACGCCAAUUGGGGCCUUUAGAUGGAGGAUGAAUGACUCCUUAUUUAGGAAUGAAGAAAUUGUUAAAAAGGCUCAAAAAAAACCUGAGAGAUUAUUUCGAAAUAAAUUUGAACACGACGACAGAAAAAAGAGUGAUUUGGGAUGCUAGUAAAGCGGUGAUGAGAGGAUUUUUGAUACAACAAAAUGCAAUCAGGAAAAGAUACCAAAAUGAGAAGAGAGAAAAAUUCUGGAGAAAAUAAAGGAUGGAGAAAAAAGACUGAGAGCGAAACCGAACUCACAGGAGAUUUUAAAAGAAAUAAAGCUAUACCAAGUACAGUAUAUGAAAUUGAUGAAUCAGGAGAUAGAAUGGAAGAUUCAACAGAUGAAACAAAAGACCUUCGAAUCGGCAAAUAAAUGUGGGAAGUUACUGGCCUGGCAAAUGAAGAAAAGACAAAAGCUGAAUACAAUUACAAACUUGGUUGUAGAAGGAAAGAACAUACAGAAUCCUGGAGAGAUUCGGAAGUGCUUUCAGAAUUAUUUCAAACAGCUAUAUACGCAGGAGGCUCAGAAAGAUUUAGAUAUUGACCGAUUUUUGGAAAAUAAUGGAUUACAAAAAUAUCUCAGGACAGUAAAUCAAUAUUAAAUUCGACUAUAUCUGAUCAAGAAGUGGAAGGAGCCAUUCUGAAUAUGAAAUUGGGCAAAUCCCCAGGGCCAGAUGGACUAACUGCAAAGUAUUACAAAACUUUGAAAGAAUGGCUAUUGCAACCGUUGAAAGAACUUUGUAAUGAAAUACUACGGGGAGGAAGAGCACCCGAGUCGUGGAAAGAAGCGUACAUUACACUUAUACCAAAAACCGAGGGGGAGAAGACACAGUUGAAGAACUACCGUCCCAUAUCCCUGCUAAACGUGGAUUACAAAAUUUUUGCUGAAAUUAUGGCUAAGAGAUUAAAAAAUGUAUUGGUAAAAGAGAUUCAUAAAGACCAGGCGGGUUUUCUGCCUGGAAGACAUUUGUCAGACAACACUAGGAACAUUAUCAACAUUUUGGAAAAACUGCAAGUUAAUAUUAAUACUAAAGCUGUUUUAAUAUUUGUGGAUGCAGAGAAAGCGUUUGAUAAUAUUUCUUGGAGUUUUAUGAAGAAAAAUUUGCAGGGGAUGGGGGUAGGCCAAAGUUUCGAAAAUGGUAUAGGUGCAAUUUACUCGGAACAAAAAGCUAAGCUUAUUGUGAACAAUGUAGUUACAGAAGAAUUUAAGAUAGAGAAAGGAACAAGACAGGGUUGCCCAAUCUCCCCAUUGCUUUUUAUAUCGGUCCUUGAGGUUCUGCUCAAUAUGAUUAGAAAAGACCAAUUGGUUAAAGGUAUACAACUCGGAGCCAAACAGUAUAAAUUGAAAGCUUUUGCUGAUGAUUUAGUUUUGACAGUACAGGAGCCAGAAGCUAGCACAAAAAGGGUGUUACAAUUAAUACAAGAAUUUGGUCAAGUAGCUGGUUUUAAAUUAAACAAGAUGAAAACCAAGGUAUUAGAGAAAAAUCUUACAGAGAUAGAGAAGGAGAGAUUCCAGAAAGAGACAGGAUUAACAAUUGUUAACAAAGUGAAAUAUUUAGGGGUGAACAUGACUGCUAAAAAUGUGAAUUUGUUUAAAGAUAAUUAUGAAAAAUGUUGGUCAGAGGUGAAGAAAGAUCUAGAAAUAUGGUCAAAAUUGAAGUUAUCAUUGCUUGGCCGAAUUGCUGCGAUAAAGAUGAAUGUACUGCCUAGAAUGUUGUUCUUGUUUCAAACAUUACAAAUUGUGGACAAAAUGGACUGUUUCAAGAGGUGGCAAAGAGACAUUUCCAAAUUUAUCUGGCAGGGCAAAAACCUAGAAUAAAAUUUAAGAUAUUAACAGAUGCAAAGGAAAGAGGGGGAUUUGCCCUGCCAGAUCUUAAACUUUACUAUGAAUCAGCCGCUUUUUGCUGGCUGAAAGAUUGGCUACUUCUUGAAAAUGUGGACAUUUUGGAUUUAGAAGGCUUUGAUAACGUUUUUGGAUGGCAUGCAUAUUUAUGGUAUGAUAAAGUUAAAGCGCAUAAGGCCUUUAAGAACCAUAUUGUCAGGAAAGCAUUGUUUAAUGUUUGGGUGAGAUAUAAGGAUUUGUUGGAAAGUAAAACACCAAGGUGGCUAUCACCAAUGGAGGCAAAGGCAUUGAAAAAAACCAAUAUGGAGACAAACUGGCCAAAAUAUUGUGAAAUUUUAGAACAAGUUGGAGAUAAAUUAAAAUUGCAGAGUUUUGACAAAUUAAAAACCAAAGUCAGAGAUUGGUUACAUUAUUAUCAAAUAAGGGAGGUUUUUAACUUAGAUAAAAGAUUGGUUUCAGGAGGAAAAAUCUAAACUGGAAACGGAAUUGUUAGAACCUAAAACUAAAAAUUUGUCAAGAAUGUAUAAUUUGCUGCUGAAAUGGAAUACACAGGAUGAAAUGGUUAAAUCUGUUAUGAUUAAAUGGGCGCAGGAUGUUGGGCAUAACAUUAUGUUUGCUGACUGGGAACGGUUAUGGACCACAGGUAUGAAAUUUACGGCUUGUAAUGCUUUAAGAGAAAACAUAAUGAAAAUGAUUUACAGGUGGUACUUAACCCCAGUCAAGCUAGCAAAAAUUUAUCACUUGCCUGAUAAUAAAUGUUGGAAAUGUAAAGAAAACGAAGGUACUUUCUUUCACCUUUGGUGGACGUGCCCAAAGAUCAAGGCAUUCUGGGAAAUGAUAUACAAUGAAUUAAAAAAGGUAUUGAAAUAUACUUUCUUAAAGAAACCAGAGGCCUUCCUCUUGGGCAUGGUCGGCCAAUUGGUGCGAAGGGAAGAUAGAACUUUUUUUAUGUAUGCGACAGCAGCAGCAAGAAUACUCAUUGGGAAAUAUUGGAAGACACAAGAAUUGCCUACCCGAGAAGAAUGGCAGAGAAAAGUGAUAGAUUAUAUGGAACUGGCUGAGAUGACUGGAAGAAUUCGAGAUCAAGAAGAAGGGUUGAUGGAAGAAGAUUGGAAAAAGUUUAAAAUAUAUCUACAGAAUCACUGUAACAUAAAAGAAUGUUAGGAAAGGUUGGAGAAGAAAUAUUAGACCGUAUUGGCAGACAGAGUAUAAUGGAAUUAAGUAAAUAUGAAGUGUAAACUAAAGGAUAGAGGAGAAUUAAAUAUUUUUGAAUGUUAAAAUGUUAAAAUAAGUGAAUGAAAAGAAGGUUAGAAGGAUUUGCUGGAGAUACAAUUUGAAUUAGAAUACAAAGCAGAGAAGUGAGAGGAAGUCACGGAAAUAAGUAAAUGGGAAAACGGUUUGUUAAAUUUGAAUUCUUUUUUUGUUAUUUUUUAUUGUGAUUUUUGGUCUUGUGUAUUCUUUCUUUUUUCUUUUUUUUCUUGUAUGGUGUGUAUCUUUUGUAAGAUGUAUGUGAUUGGUUUUUCUUGUUUUGUUUUUUCUUUUUUUGUAAUCUUAAAACUUGAAUAAAUAUUCCUAAACAAAAAAAUAAGUUAAUAGCUUAUAGGUUUUUCUCCUUUUGUGUGCCAUCCAAAUGACUUAUCCUACAUAUGUGCUUGUGAUUACAAAUCAGCAAAUAAUUCAUAACAUAUUCCAUUGGGGACACAUCUAAAAAAAAGACCACGUGAGUCUCUGAUGUAUUCAUAGUAACUUAGUAAAGCAACUUUAGCAAAUAAUCCUUUAUGUCUAGUUUACAGGCAUUUUUCUUGAGUAAGUUAUUAGUCAUACAUUGAGCUAGCUUGAUUGCAUCUACAAAGUCAGCUGGUAAUGAUUCCCCCCCCCCGCACUGUUUUUACAACAGGGGUCUAUAUAAAAAAGCAAGAGCAUUUCACUGAUAAUGCCAUAGAUUUUAAGCACCUCACCCAGUGGCAGAUACUGUAUUAAAGGCCUGACACAUAGGGAUGUAAGAAUGCUGUUUCUGUUCUGACUUGUAUUAAUCAUUUGUAUUACGGUAUUUUAAUAUUUUGUUGGAAGCCGCCCAGAGUGGCUGGGAAAGCCCAGCCAGAUGGGCAGGAUAUAAAUAAUAAAUUAUUAUUAUUAUUAUUAUUAUUAUUAUUAUUAUCAUCAUCAUCAUAACCAUCACUAUACAGUGGUACCUCGGGUUACAUACGCUUCAGGUUACAGACUCCGCUAACCCAGAAAAAGUGCUUCAGGUUAAGAACUUUGCUUCAGGAUGAGAACAGAAAUUGUGUUCCGGUGGCACAGCGGCAGCAGGAGGCCCCAUUAUCUAAAGUGGUGCUUCAGGUUAAGAACAGUUUCAGGUUAAGUAAGGACCUCUGGAACGAAUUAAGUACUUAACCCGAGGUACCACUGUAAUCACUUUUCCUCUUCUGCCGCAGUUUGGUUUCUGCCAAUUCUAUAUUAUUUGUCUUGCUAUCGUAUUUUACUUUUUAAAUAUAACCUUUUUAUUAACUUUUAAAAUUUUACAAAUUCUUUUAAACAACCCUCAGAAUAAAUCUCUCAUAUCUGUUGACUUCCCAUCCAUUCUUCCAUGAUGUUCUUUUCUUACCUUAUAAAGCUCCUAUGCUACUUAUAUUUUACCAAUUAUAUGUGUUAAUUAUCAGUGAUUAAACUGCAAUUCUCACCUGCUGCUAUACUUCAAAUCCUGCAUACGUUUUAACAUAACCAUAAUAUUUUAAUAGCAUAGCCAUAUGUGGUUUUUUGUUUUGUUUUGUUUUGUUUUGCAAAUAUUCCAUGAAAUAUUUCCAUUCUUCAAGAAAUUUUUCUUCAUUCUGUUCUUUAAUUUUCACAGUCUAGCCAUCUCAUCUGUUUUGUUUUUGUUGGGUUGGCAUUGGUUAAAUGUUUAGUUGGGGUUGGCAGUUAUUUUAAUUUGGGUAUAACUUUAAACUGUUUAUUGUUGUUAUUGUUUUUGUUGUUAUUAUUACUGGUUUCUAUUGGUUUAUUGGCUUGUUCAUUGCUUGUAUAGGAUAUUCUGCUUUUUGAUGUUUGAUGUUUCUUGUAUUUUUAUAUAUGCUGUAAGCCUCUCAGAGUGGCUGGGGAAAUCCAGCCAGAUGGGCAGGACACACACACACACACACACACACACACACACACAAUUAUUUUUAUUAUUAUAAUAUUCUGUCAUCUUCAUAAGCCAAUCUUCAUAAGCCAGUGUGGUGUAGUGGUUAAGAGCAGUAGACUUGUAAUCUGGGGAACCGGGUUCGCGUCUCCGCUCCUCCACAUGCAGCUGCUCUCAGCCCCACUCACCUCACAGAGUGUUUGCUGUGGGGGAGAAAGGGAAAGGAAAAUGUUAGCCGCUCUGAGACUCCUUCGGGUAGUGAUAAAGUGGGAUAUCAAAUCCAAACUCUUCUCUUCUUCUUCUCAUGAGGUGGCCAAAGUAUUGGAACCUCAGCUUCAGGAAACUUGACCACAAACUUGACAUGAGCCAACAGUGUGACGCGGCAGCUAAAAAAGCCAAUGCAAUUCUGGGCUGCAUCAAUAGGAGUAUAGCAUCUAGAUCAAGGGAAGUAAUAGUGCCACUGUAUUCUGCUCUGGUCAGACCUCACCUGGAGUACUGUGUCCAUUUCUGGGCACCACAGUUCAAGAAGGACAUUGACAAACUGGAACGUGUCCAGAGGAGGGCAACCAAAAUGGUCAAAGGCCUGGAAACGAUGCCUUAUGAGGAACGGCUAAGAGAGCUGGGCAUGUUUAGCCUGGAGAAGAGGAGGUUAAGGGGUGAUAUGAUAGCCAUGUUCAAAUAUAUAAAAGGAUGUCACAUAGAGGAGGGAGAAAGGUUGUUUUCUGCUGCUCCAGAGAAGCGGACACGGAGCAAUGGAUCCAAACUACAAGAAAGAAGAUUCCACCUAAACAUUAGGAAGAACUUCCUGACAGUAAGAGCUGUUCGACAGUGGAAUUUGCUGCCAAGGAGUGUGGUGGAGUGUCCUUCUUUGGAGGUCUUUAAGCAGAGGCUUGACAACCAUAUGUCAGGAGUGCUCUGAUGGUGUUUCCUGCUUGGCAGGGGGUUGGACUCGAUGGCCCUUGUGGUCUCUUCCAACUCUAUGAUUCUAUGAUUCUAUGAUUCUAGGAUCUGUCCUUCCAGUGAGCACUCAGGACUGAUUUCCUUAAGAAUGGAUAGGUUUGAUCUUCUUGCAGUCCAUGGGACUCUCAUGUCCAUAAUUCAAAAAGCAUACAUAAACAAAUUAAAAAAUUCUUUUGGAAGCUCUGGUGUGGUUUCUGUUCAGAUCAUAUAAAGCUUUCACCUUUUGCUAUCUUAUUCUGCAUAAGUUGCUGCCACACGCCCUGGGGAGGUAUCCUAGAGUGGAUGGUCAGAUCCUGAGAAAUAAUGGGAGGAGCUUGGAGAGUUGGAGCCAAGACAUCCUGCAGAGGAUCCUAUCUGUGUCAGUCAGUAAUGAUGUCAUUUUAGGGGGGUUCACUUCCUUCUCAGUGUUUCUAGAAGUUAACAAGUCUAUGGCAGCAGGACCACCAAACCCUGAACUCUGGCCAUCAUGCCCCAACCAGGUCAGAAGGUGUUUGUGAGAGGACAGCAGGAGGGAAAAGGAGUAGUCUAGUUCCGGGGUUCAGAGUUUUGUGGGUUUGUUUGUUUUCCUCUCCACCAUUGGAACACUGAUGGCAAAAGGGCAAUUGUGCUUUGCAUAUUGACCAUGAAAGGGUUUCUGAGGGCAGGCAGCAAGCAGAGAGGAGAAACUGAGAAACCCCAAGGUAUUCAGAGUACCUUCCAAGGUUCCCUUCUUUUUUAGUGAAGCUAGGCAUAUGUCAUGUGGUAUUGCUAAACUGUCAGGCUGAAGUCAGCCAGAUUCUGUUUGUUUGUUUUCAUUAAAAAUAAUCCCAGAGUGGUGGACAGUAUAAAAAAUAAAAAUUCAAUACACAAUAAAACCAGUCACAUAAAACCAACAGCGCAUAAACUCAUAAUCACAUACACGCCCAUGAAAGCAGGCUAACCAAUUUCACUAUAUUAAAGACGGAAAUCUGAUUUAUUGCGCUUCCUCAGUGAAAACUAGAUGCUUCUCGUUGUUGUUUUUAAAUAAACUAGGCAGUAAUAAGAGCUAGCAAGUCAAAAACAAAACUCUACAUUACGGCCCAGAGGGCACCUACUGGCCUCUGUUCUCUCCCUGACCCCCGCCAUUGUUUGACAAACAAGCUUAGCUUUCUCCUUCUCCAGGGAGAAACUACAGUUAUGCCUGUUACCAGAUACCAUAAAACUGUGGCCUCAUCUAGACCAUACAUUUACAGCACUUUUGUACCACGUCAACAGUCAAGGCUUUCCUCAAAGAACCCUGGGACCUGUAGUUUGUUAAGAGUGCUGAGAAUUGUUUGGAAACCCCUCAGAGCUACCACGAUCAGCAGCCUGUCCGUUCCUUAACAAGCUAUUCAGUCUAGUGUGUCAUAGAACUAGCUUUCUUAUGCCCCAAACACAAGUGCAGAGGACUCCCAUUCAUGGUGUCUCUAUAAACAUUAUCUUAAAAUAUGUGAUAUCAGCCCCUCCAAGUGUCCCUAUUUUCCAGGAACAGUCCUGGAUUUACAGAAGCCAUCCCAGUUUCUUAUUUGUCCUGCUUUCCCUUGGGAUGUUCCUAUUUACAAUGAAGAAAUGUUGGCGGGUACGUGAUAUGAUUGUUAUGGUAAUGACUGAUUAUGGAUCUUGAGCUGACCAUAGAUUCAGCUUGAUUAAAGAUCCCUAUGUAGAUCCCAAGCAUUCCUGGGGGCACAGCCACUUGGAGGACCCUGGCCUAGUCUGCCCACAGUUACACAGGAGUGUAUGUUAGCAGAAAUUUGCUUGCCUCCACGGCUUUAAAAUGUGCUGCCAGUUCCAUGCGCAUUGACCCUGGAAAUGUGGCAGCUAUAUUGAGGCAUGCAGUGGGUCGGAAAAUAGCUUUAUUCAUAGCCUGCAUCCCCAGAGAUAGGCAGAUCAUUCUGUGUGAGUAGAUUUCCAAUGAGAUGAAAUGAGCCUCUUUUUUGUUUUGAAUAUUGUUCCUUUAUAUAUUUCUCUGCGCCACAUUUACAUGUCCCUAUACAUGUAAUCAGCUGGUUUUAAUUUGCAUUGAUUUCUAUAGAAUAAAGAGCCUGAGCUUGAAAGAGAAGGAUAUAACUGUGUGGGAAAUUUCUCUCUCUCAACUGAAUGUGAGUACACAAGUGAAGAUUUCAAAAGAAAACCACCCUCUUUCAAAGGCUACAGAAAUAGUUGGGGAAUGACUUUUAAAGCUGUCAUUUGGGUUCUCAUCAAUCUACUCAGUGCACACUUAUGCUCUCUGUGUGAUAGUCUGACAUCUUUACACAUUUUAAAGAUUAUACACUCAAGCAUACUUUGCAUGGGUUUCAUGGAAUCUACCCAAAAGGAGAUUAUCCCCCACCCCAUGUGCUGGAAUUGACAACUUGGAAUCAAGCUUCACUAAGUUAGCCAUGGUAUGAGGACCCACUUCAGUACAAGUGAACUGACAAUUGUGGCUUGUGUGCUUGUUCUGACAUAGAAUUGUUUUUAUGUUGGAACUGUGCAGUGGAGCUCUGAGACAUCUCAAAGACAAAACAAGAACAACAGUUGUUUGUUUUAUUAAUUUAUUGGUUUAUUGUUUUAUUAAUCAGGUUGAAACCUGACAAGACUAAAUACUCUUCUUGGGGGACAGAGGGCGGGUGGGUGUGGAGGGACUCCCUGGUCCUGAAUGGGGUAGGUGCGCAGCCUGGGAGUCAUUUUGGACUCACAGCUGUCCAUGGAGGCUCAGGUCAAUUAUGUGUCCAGGGCAGCUGUCUACCAACUCCAUUUGGUACACAGGCUGAGACCCUACCUGCCCGCAGACUGUCUCACCAGAGUGGUACAUACUCUGGUUAUCUCCUACUUGGAUUACUGCAAUGCACUCUACAUGGGGCUACCUUUGAAGGUGACUCGGAAACUACAACUAAUCCAAGAUGCGGCAGCUAGACUAGCCACCAAGACCAUAUAACAGCAGUCUAAAGGAUCUUCACUGUCUCCCAGCAUGUUUCCAAGCACAAUUCAAAGUGUUGGUACUGACCUUUAAAGCCCUAAAUGGCCUUGGCCCAGUAUACCUGAAGGAGCAUCUCCACCUCCAUCAUUCAGCCCAGGCAUUGAGGUCCACUUCUGAGGGUCUUCUGGCAGUUGCCUCACUUUAAGCAGUAAAGUUACAGGGAUCCAGCAGAAGGCCUUCUCGGCAGUGGCAUCCUCCCUUUGGAACACCUUCCCAUCAGAUAUCAGUGAGAUAUAGAAUUACAUAACUUUUAGAAAACAUCUGAAGGCAGCCCUGGUUCAGGGAAGUUUUUAAUGUCUGACAUUUUAUUAUUUUUUAUAUUUUGCUAGAAGCUGCCCAGAGUGGCUGGGGAAACCUAGCCAGAUGGGUGGGGAAGAAGAAGAAGAAGAAGAAGAAGAAGAAGAAGAAGAAGAAGAAGAAGAAGAAGACUCCUUAAAUUUACAAGAAUCCUUUCAAGGGAAAACCAUCUCUGUUAAAGACCUGUUUGGUUUAGACAGAACCACAGAAUUGUAGAGUUGGAAGGGACCCCAAGGGUCAACUAGCCGAACCCCCUGCAAUGCAAGGAUCUCAGCAGCUGAAGUUUCUAUGACAGAUGGACAUCUUGAUGCUCUUUACAUUUUAUACCAGGAAAAAGAAACAUCUGAGGAGAAAGAUUUGACUAGGGAUGCAAAUAAGGUGUUUUAUUUAAAGGAUUCUUUUCCUCCAUGCACAGUUACAUUGAGUAUACCCAACUGGAGCUCUGAAAAUAAAUAGUUAAUAAUCAGCUGGACAUCCAGCUCUUAUAGUUCACAGACACUUUGUCCAAGCAGCAAGCCCUUGUGGUGCUGGAGUAUGCUAGAUCCUGCUUUGAUGUGGAAGGAGCGGUUGUAAUUGGUAGCCUCCUCUUGUGUAGAAUCAUUGAAGCGCAAGUCUGCUGUGAACUGCUUCAACUAUCAACUUAUGUGAUUGGCCAGAUUUAUCCCAAUGAAGAAAAUGCAAAAGGACCUACAAGUGACAGGGGCUAUAUCAUCACCAUUAUUUUGAUAGUUAAAACCAUGCUCCAGGUGGCUUACGACAGGAGAAGAUUUACAUAAUUACAAAAGUGGCCAUAAACAAUAGAUUAAGAAGUACACAACAAAAUUGAACAAUUGGCACACAUAUCAUAAUAAGAUCUAAGAAUAAAGAUUACAAAAAAUUAAUAUCAGUGGUAGAUGCUUCCCAAAAAAUACUUAGCUGUGUGAAGGCCGCAAUGUGGCUGAUUUUUUUUUAAUAAAAAAGUUCUUAGUUGUGGUCCAGUGACUGACACAUAGGCACGCAAUGUUGGGACAACAAUCUCUGUCAACUCACAUCAUGCUGGAGUGCAGACACUGUCUGCUUGUGGACCAUUACAUAGGCUAAAAGCCUUUCAAAGUGACAUGAACCAUGUUGAAAUCCUACACUUUUAAGUGCUUUCACACAAACUCCAUGCAGCUGUUAUAUUGAAUCUGUCAUCCAGGUUCACCCGCAGUGGUAAGCAAUAUCUUAGCUCCAAUUUGUAAUAUGUUGUGCUUUUCUUUUUAUCUUUUUCGGUGCACACAUGUGGUCUAUUCAUAUGAGCAGUGCAACAUGCAAAUCAGCAACUCAUUAAAGACAGUGGCAGAAACUUCAUGAUGAAAAGGAGCUCUGUGAUGCAGCCAAUGGAACAGAGGCCUGUGGCUGUUGCUGCUGUAUUCCAGGAACUGCCAACUCACGUUUUAAGCUGCCUAGGCAAGUAGGUCAGUCAGAUGAUCCACAGAUUUGUUAAUUGUUUCAUUCUGUUUGAAAGAACAAUAUGUGGAGGAAAUGGGAGAGUCCAAAAUCAACCUCGUUUCUCUGACAGAUCAUGUUUUCUGGCUUACAAUCUGAGCCAGGUUUAUGUUAUAGGAUGAAGCUUGGAAAUAACUACCAGCCAUCAUUGCCUUUUCACCCCAGAUGUGCUUCUGCCAUGAAUAAUACUUUCCCCUCUUAUGGACAGCGGCAUGUCUAUUCGAGUCCACAUUCGUGGGAAAGUGCAGAGAGGGCAAUGGGAUGCUGUAACAGCACCUCACCAAAUGUCACUGACACAUUUGCAAACAGUUUUUCUCUUUUCAUCCUUGUCGUUGAUAAAAAACAGAGUGAAAUGAGUCGUAAUUAAGAGGAUUCACCACAAUGUUCUCAACAUACACAUGUCCUCCCUUACCCAUCCUCAUGGACUGCCUAACAACAUGGAUACAUUUUUCUCCCCUCUUUUGUUGCUAGGUGAUGGAUGUACUGGAAGAGCAUGCAUGGCACACCCACCCAUGCCACACCCAUGGGCAAGGGCCAAUGGGCGUGGCCUGAAAUUUAACAUAGACAUGAAUGUAUAAAAAAUUGCUAUGCAAAACAUUUCAUUAUGUGAACUGUGUAGUAGAAUUAGUAAUCUUAGUCUAUUCAUAGACUAUUAGAUGGAUCACUUAUUAUUAGUGUCCAUAAGUUUUAUAUGGCUUGUAUAUAUUUAUAAUAGUAAUAAUAAAAAACCAAAAUCUGGGGAGAAAACUGGAUGAGAAUUGCGGAAAAAUCCCCAAAACAAAUUGCUGUGAAGGACACAUGGUUAUUUAAUCCAUCUUUUUGGAUCACAUUCUGUUUUUCCUUCCAUGUGUUCUUGUUAAUUUAAUCAUUGUAAUUGUAGGCAAGGACUCAUGAUACAUUUUUGCUUUGAACCUCAAUAUUUUUAGGCGAGAUUUUCCAAUGUUUCGUCUGUUUUGUGUUGCUGCAUAAAACAGACUGGAUGCUGCCCUAAUUAGCCACCAAAGUAUUCUUUUCCAUAGAGUGAACCGUUGGGACAAGAGCAAGAACGCGGUGGUUCCUCUGCCUUCUCUGAAAUCCCACAGGAGGGUGGAGAUAAGCAACAAUCCAGGGCUAAGUCUUACAGUGAAUGCUAUUAGAACAGGUGCAAUAUGCAACACGGCAACAUGCUUUAGACAUCACAGUGAGUAGGCUUAUGGUUCUUUCAAGUCAUAUGAGCUUUUGUGGAACAGCCUUUAGAUUGGCUGCAUUCUUAUAUCUGGUCUGCCCCCUAUUAUGCUCUUGUUGUUACAUGGUCAUAACAUUGACUUGAUCUUAAUAAAGUACAAACUCCUGAGCUGUGCUUCAGUGACUCUGUAGGAGCACAAGGACAUCAAAAUGAAGGCUGCAGUUCUAAAUUCAUUUAAGGAGCUGGUCAUAUAGAAGUCAAUGCAAGCUGAUUAAAUUUAUAUAUGUAUGUGUAAGCACAAAUGCACGCACUGUGAUUUUAGUACUAAACCGAGAGAGAGAGAGAGAGAGAGAGAGAGAGAGAGAGAGAGAGAGAGAGUUUUGUAAAGAAAUCAGGGCUAUGCAAAAGUGCUCAAUCCCAAAUUCGCCACCACCACAUCCAUGUGACAAAAAUGAAGAUGCCAUUUUAGCUGAUUUUUCAGGAAAUGACAAAAUUCUUUCGGGAGGACAAGAACUCACUGCUGGUGGUUUUUGAAGCUCCUCCUGGUGCCACCAGCUAAUAGUCAGCAUAUACUUUCCCCCAUAGCUCCAGGACUAAAUGAUAAAUGAUGACCUAGCAUUGUCCUGACAGGGAUGAAGCUCCAAUUUCGCAACUCCAGCUCCCACUUUACCAUGAAGUUUUGUCCAGCUUCUCUCCCCCACCCAGACAUCAGAUUUUGAACUAAAAAAUAUCAUACAGAUUUUUUUGGCUGUGAGCGCUAGAAUCAAUCUUGUUAAAUAUAAUCUGUGUCCCCGUUAUCUGAUAUAAUAUUGUGGCAGUGCAGACAGUUCUGCCUCUCAGCCAAGCAGAAGCCAUUCUUCAAAGUCUAAGGCCACACCUGUACCAUGAAUUUAAGAUGCUGUUACACCACUUCAAGCCCCACUCCACUUAGAGUUACAAUUAACAGUGCGGUUUAACAAUCCUUCUUCUCAGUGAACUCUGGAAAUCAUAGCUUUGUGGGGAGGAGUAUGGCUCUUCUAUUCCCAGCACCCUUAACAAACAACUCUUCUCAGGAUUCUGUGAGGGGAGUCAUGACUGUUUAAAGUGGUAUGGUACUACUUUAAAUAUGUGGUGUGGAUUUGACCAGAGUGCACCUCCAAUGGCUAUCAUUGCCUAGAUUUAAGUACAUGACCACUGCCUGUUUGCAUUUAAUGAGAGAGGUUUUCUCCAAUAAAAAAGCAUGCACUGCUUUGAAGCUGAAGGGGCAAUACGUAUUUUACACAAUUCCUCAUGGAGAUAGUAAAUUUAAUGUGGGGUGUGUGUGUUUAGUGCCAGAAGUGAAUAUGAAGCUAAUGACUACAAAUUUCACUGGAAUGAAUGGAAACCCACAUUAUAGUUUAUUUCUGCUGACAAAUGAAUUUAUUAAAGAUCAGAAUCUUUUGGCAAGGAGGUGGAAGAGCUGAGCCUUGCAUAAGAGAAUGCUUGGUGCAUCGCUUGUAGUAAAAGAUCUGUCACUUUCCAAUGAAAGCAUUCAAAAUAAGGGUUGUAUCCAGCUACGUCGCAGAGUAGACUUUUUGAAACCAAUGGACUUGUUAGUUUUGCCCAUUGAUUUCAAAAAGUCUACUCAGAAUGUGUGUGUGUAUUUUGCAACAUGUCUUUGAUGCUGGCUUCUUCAUGGCCUUGGAGACAGAGGCAGUGUCAGCACAGGCCUAGGAUCUGAUUUACUCUCAAUUGCCUCUCCAGAAGGAGGAGGCUUCUCCCUGACAGGAGGGGGUUCUGUGGGAGGUUCCACAACAGGAGAUGUCUGGUGCUAGAGGGCAGAACAUUCGUCUGCCAGCCUACUUGGUCCCUCCCUGGAUCCAGUCCCUAAAUGACCAGCCCCCUCCCCAAGCUUAGACACCUCUUGGAGUCCUGAUUAGACCUAUGCCAUCCCAAUAAGGACCUUCCCCAGGGUUGUCCUAGUUCUAACUACCCAAGCACCUCCCAUUCUUCUUCUGGAUCUGACCAUCCACUCCACAACAUCUUCAUGGGACUCAUGAAAAUAGAUUUCUAUUCAAGUAUCCAUCUAUGAAUUUGUCUUUCUUAAUUGUUAUGCAAUGCGUCCCCAGUGUCAUCAUAUUAUUGUCCUCUAGAGUGGCUGUCUUGUGCUAUAGUGCAGGAAAAGUGGGACAACACACACACGCAUCAUUCUUUGGAAGAUUUGUGGUAUGAAAACAGGAUUUCAGCAGGAAGAUACAGGACAUGCAUUGAUUGGAAAGGAAGCAGUAUGUCCACCCCAAAACCUUGCAGCCAUGGAAAAUGGGAUUGAAUAUGAGUCCAAAUCACCAUGGAUUACAAUAAAAAGGACAUCUGGAGGGGCGCACUGAUGCCACUGACAUUUAUGUAUCAUGAGACAUUCCCAUCUGAAGUUGUAAUGCCAAAAGAUAUAAUCAAACCCUCCAGCCAAUAUAAUGCAUGUGUGACCAUGUCUAUUCUUGAUUUGAAAACAAUGGACUGCACCUUCUCUGAGCAUGAAGUCCCAGGAAAAGCAGAGGUGAGAAUUCUUCUUCAAAUAAUCCCCAGCGUGACAAACACAAAUAGCUGCUGAUUUUUCGCAUUCCUCGUGACCGCUUUCAAAGUCCGCUGACGUUACCCUCCAACCAUCUCUCAGCGGAGGGCCAGUGAUUAUAACCGCAGGAACACCCUCACUGUUUCCUUUGAUGAAGAAUCAUAAAGACAGGAGGAAAUGGCAUGACAACAGUCUAAGAACCACCAGAGCUUCUUUUCCAAGGUCUGACUUUUGUUAUGGCAUUUGGGUGAACGGUUAUGUAAAUAAAUAUCCCGUACUUCCUCUCAUUAAGCUCACUUUAUGUCGGAAGCCGCAGCUUGCGAGACACUUUGAUAUUGAGAGCGUCAAGUCUAGAGUGCUAAGUAUGAUUAUAGUUCAGAGUUGUUUAGCUCUGCAAAUGACAAGAACCUUUGCUAGCCUCUUUGACCCCAAAGUAGCAAUUAGGAAAGCUCACUGUAUGGUAUAUAUCACAUAAUUAUCCUUUCCCCACCCAGACACUAGUUUGGUGCCUGUUAUUAUUACCAUUUACUAAAAUUAUACUCUAUCUGACUAACACCCUGUCACUUCUCAGAUUUGCAACCAUGUCAGCAUAUUGAAAUGUUUCACUUAGAAGAAGCUGUAAAUAGCCAUUAAGACAGAUUGCCCCUUUACCUUUGCUUUGUGGUCUUCUACUACAAUAUCAGAGCCCAUGGUUCUGGAGUAGUGAUCCCCCCGCCCAUGUCCUUUUUAUUGUGCAUUAAUGAAGAUUUAGAGUUAUGAUGGUAUCAGGGAAUAUGCAAAAAUCCUCUUUUUUGCAAAUUGGUAUGCAAAUUCCUAUUUUUAACACUUUGUCCCUGCAAAGGUUUUGUAGCUGACAUACUGCUUUGUUUGUGAUCAGUGCAUGUCCUGUAACUUUCUGCUGAAAUCCUGUAACUGUUCAGGCUUCUGUUCUUCUGUUUAUUUUGUUAUGAAUAUUGCAAAUGUUACAGAUCUUGGCCAUCAUGAACCAGUGGAUCACAUCUACAGUGUGAUCAGAAUCAAUUUAGGUUGUUUCAGUUGACAGUCUGAAUGGGUCUGCUAAUUCUGGUCUUACUUAGAGUAGAUCCAUUGAAAUUAAUGGACAUGAUGAACUUCAACCUAUUAAUUUCAAUGGCUUCUGAGUAAACCUUAGUUGGAUGUAACCCAGCAAAUGCUUAUUUCCAAUGGAUGUGAAUACUGAAAUAUCAAAAACUAUUUCAGAUCUAGCUACUCUAAUACGAAGAGACAGUAGGCUGCACCCAAAGGUUCCUUGUAUUUAAUGGAGGAAUCUUCGUCCAAAAGUCAGUACAGGACAGUAAUAACUCAAACUAUUGUUGCUAAUUAUUUGGCCCCAGAGAAAAUCCAUACACAGUUACAGUUAGGCAUGACUAUGCCCAUUGAGGUCACAACAUGCUGCAAAGGGUUUUUUCCCCAACAGGAGUAAGCAGGACAUACCUUCCAAGAGGAUGUGGCCCAAAUCUGGGACACCAUCUUCUAGAUCAGGAAUUCUGUGCGAGUCACUUAAUUGUGCAAUCACAGACCCAGAAAAAGCACUUUUUAAGGCACAGUGCCCCAAAACGCACAUUUUGGGAGUUGCACAAGUUUGCAGACCCCCUAAAAAUGCUUUUUUCGGGGUGAAAUCUUGGCCCAAAGCCAUGAGAAAGCAAGGCACCCCAAAUGGCUGCCAUGCUGUAGCUUGAAAAACAGGAUGUCCCAGUUUUUCCAGGGCAGUUGACAGGUAUGGUAAGGACAGAUUUAUCACAUAUCCAGUUAUCUAUCCCUUCCUUUCUCCAGUAUAAGUGAAUGACUAUUAAUCGCUAAUAUGGAAGAAGGAAGGGCCUUGCUUAGCGACAACACGAUAAUGGUGGCAAAUCUGCUUACCAUCCCUGAAACAUGUGGCCUGUCCUCCCCUAGCAAUGAUGGGGUGCAAUGUUUCUGUACAAAGACCCUCUGUUCCCAUCCUACCUCUCACUCACUUAACACACAGAGGUUUACAUAUACAGCCCAUCAAAAUGAUGGGCACCUCACCGGUUUAAAAUAAUUGCAAGGGGUUUUGUUCUAAUUAAUGAAAGUGAGAGCAUGAUAACAGUAGUUAGAUCUACCCAAGUGCAGGCAGACACACAGCAAGCUUCAAAAACACUUCUGACCUAGCAGAAAUAAUUGCCCUAUUAUCCCAGACCUGGAUCUUUGUUAAGAAGCUUAUGAGGAUACCAUGCCAAAUUAUGUGGUGGUUUUAUAUAACGGAGGGUAGACAGAUGUUUACUUGGAAAGGUUAAAGGGAUAAAAACUCCAUUUGCUUGUGAUCUAUUUGGAAGUGAAUUCAGUCCCCCGCCGGUGAUAGCAAAAAUAUAUUAUUAUUAUUAUUAUUAUUAUUAUUAUUAUUAUUAUUAUUAUUAUUAAACUACUCAUUCUUCACCUGGUUUUGUAAUUUAAUAAAAUGUACAGGAUAUAUUUCUGCCCCUCUUUUACCCAUUUGGUGCCACAAUGCCUGUGUUUGCAGUUCAAGGGGAUUAUCUUUAAUAAAUGCACUGAGUCUAUAGUGCAAAGGGGAAUAUUCAGUGAAAUAGCUGUUCAUGAGAAAAUAAAAGAAAUCCGACUUUUAUUAAUUUGAUCCCGACAUCAUUCUCUUCAUCUGAACCCUAUGUAACGUUAUGUUAUGUUAUUUUAGAUGACCUGCCUCCAUUUUGCUUAUUUUAUGUAUACUUUAGUUCGUUUGGGAGCUCUAUAUUAUAAUGAAAAUCUGUUCAUACAGUGGUAAUCUAGGAAAACAUCGCCAUGUCACUUCUCAAAUUUCUAUCGUUUUUAGUUUCGUGAAUUAGAAACUUUGGGUGAGUAUGGGGAGAAUGAAACAGUCCUGUUAAGUUUGCUUGCGAAAACAAGGUGUGGAUACAGUUCUCCUUCUUGUGAGGUUUCAGCUGGAAAGAAUUGCAUAAGACACUCCAAAACAAAUAAAGGCAGGAGAUAAGUCGGAACCCUGAUAGCAUCAACAUUCUUAAUAUAAACUGAUGUGCAUAAAUGCCAUGUUUCAUGACUCAGGCUUCUCCUUACCCAAGGAUGGGAUGGAAUUGCCUCAGAGGAUCAGGAUCAUUCAAGAAGAGUUUCUUUGUCUCUUUGUGCUCUUUGUAUUUCUUAUAGAGUUGAGGGUGGAUAUUAGCGGGGUAUGGAAGCAGCGUAUUAAGCCCAAAGUUGCACCAGCAAUACUCAGGGCAGCUUCUGCCAGCCCCCGUAAAUCUUAGUAAUUUUUAAAAGAAAAUUUUAAAUUAAUUUUAUUGAAAUUAUUUAGAACAUCCGAAAUCCAAACUCGGAGAAGUUGAGGGUGAAACAAAACAUAGUAGGACAGCAAGAAGCAGAAUGGACUCAAAUGUCAUUUUGUUCAUGCUUCUUAAGAAUGGACUCAUAUGUCAUUUUCUCCAGACGUACGGAAUUUCCUUAAAAAUAGUUCUUUUGAGAGUUUGCAAAAGAAACUCAACAAACAACUCUGCCCAAAAAAGGUUUUGUGUCCGGAUUUUCAGUUUUUGAAAUAUGGCAACCCUCCUUCAUACCUCUUCACAAUUAAGAGCUCACUUUUAAGAGAUGCUCACUUCAAACCAGCGAGGUGCCCAAGCUAUUUCCAUAUUGGGAUCUCAUGCAUAUCUUUAUAGGGGGAACUAUGAAAGAGCCAUAGCUUUAACUGCAGAAGGUGCAGGCUCAAUCCAUUCCUCCCGCCACACCGAAACUCCUUUUAGGUUUCUUAGCAUACAUUGUCUUCCUCCACUUCCGCCACCCCCCCCCCAAAAAAAAUCAAACUGGCUCCACACUUUUACUGGACAGGUUGGUUAUUACUCCUUUGGAUAGACAGUGGCUCAGUUUUCCCCCAUCAGACCAAACCACUUUGCAUUAGAAGAACAUGUAGGCCAUGAUAUAAUGCCAGUACAUUAUAUGCAUAUAAGAAGGCGCUCAUGGGGUAUCAUGUUAUUUAUUGAAUAUUAGUCCAGUAUGUUUGGAAAAUUGGUAUAUAAAUUGUUGUAUAUAUAGAAGACUGUGGCUUCCAAAACCAAUUCCAUGAAACAUGGAAAGCAGGAGUGCUCCUUUCCCUGAAGUGGGACACAGGAUUGACUUUGCCGGCAUGUUUGUACUCUACUGACCUCCCCACCUCCUAACCUCUCCCAUUGCCAGUAAGCAACAGCUCACCUGCCAAGAAGCUGGUACAGCAUCUCCACCCCAGCCAUUUAACCCUUGCCCUUCCUAAAUGAUACACCUCUCUAAAGUUCUGUGCUGCUUCAGAAUUAUAAAACAGUUCAUAUGAUACGAAUGCAUAUUUUUAGUAUAAUGUCAGAAACAUGCUUACAAUGCUAAGGUUAAUGCUGUAAGAAGAAGAAGAACUUUCACACUGGUCAACCUGACUUCUAAGAAGUUUAGGCAUUGUAAUAAGUGUUGUUUUUUAAUGUGCUACUUUCUCAGAUGUUAAGAUUAAAAGAGGAGACUAACCGGCUCAAAAUGAAUACCUACUGGCUUUGUCUAGAAAACUUUUAAUCAGAGCAGUCAAUUAGAUGAUAGAUUUACAGCGUCUGGUUUCAGGAAUGAAGCAGCUGACAAUUAACAUAAAGAUUCAGUGCUUCUUCCCUUACAAUGCAAGGGACUGACAAUUUGGCCAAACUCAUCGUGUCUCCGUUUCUUGCAUGUGAGACUCAGUGAAUAUUAUACCUUGUAAAUGUGAAAAGUUGCAGAGAUGCUGAAUGAUCUGCCAGUAUUUGAGGCAGGAGAAGUGGGAUACCUAGCCAGAUGGUUAACUAGCAUAUUUUAUGUUUUACAAUCGCAGAAAGUUUCUUGCCUUUUCUGAAAAUAACUUGUUUAUAGCCUAACCUAAAUUGGUCUCAGCUAGCACACAAGUUUUGGAAGAACCCUAGCUCAGGAGGUAGAACAUUAUGCCUUGCAAAAGGCCCCAUGUUCAAACUCUCUUUUUCAUUGUGCAUUCAAGAUUAUUCAUGAUCAUGAUGUCUUGGGGUCCUUCUACAUGAUCCUGCCAAAGGUGACAGACAUACUAAUUGGCUUCUAGUCCAUGCAUGUUUGAUACCCAGGCUGAAAUCCUCCAACAUUUUAUACUACAAAAGUCCUGGUUUAUUAUUAUUUUUGUUCCACUUUCGUCAUGCUAUAGUGCAAGAGUAUCCUUCCAGAUCUCAAUAAUGCAAGAGCACUGGGGAAGCAUUGCACAACAAUUAAUAAAGUGGAAUUAUGAGUACGCAGUAAAUAUCAGCCACCAACACACUAUGAUUGUGUCAUGUUACAGAAAAGACUAAUAACCUGGAUGGGCCUUCGUUCAGUACAAGGUAAUUUAGGAUAGGAAAUUAACAUGAAAUUGAAUGAGAUAACAAAAUCUCAUCAUGCCUGUGUUUAAGUGCCCAUAUUUAGGACUGCCACACAGUAAUUAACUUAAAUUUGGAAAAUCUUCCAUCUGGGAUGAAUUACUCUAUCGGCCUUAUUUAAUUCUUUAUCAAACAAAAUAAAAAGAAAGAAGAAAUAUGUUCUUCUGGCAUCUCCAUCUCUUUAUUAUACGUGAACGACAAAUCAAACUGGAGGCUUCACAGUAGCUCUAUUUUGGUGAAGUGCUUUUGGAUUCCCCCACACUUACAGGAUGUCUGGAAUUCAAUCUAUUCAGGAUGCUUGAUUAUAAAAACAUUAGCCGACAAACCCAGACAGGAGUUACCAGCAGUAUAUUUAAAGGGGAUCAAAAAACAGACUGGGAGGUAAGACAAGCAAGCAGCUGAUGACAAGAAUACUGUUCAUGGAAGGCUAUGUAUAUAUAUAUAUAUAUAUAUAUUCAUUGUUGAGAAACUUUAAAUAGCCAAGGACAAAUGCUGCCCGGUGUUAUUUAAGAACUGGACCUGUAACUGGAGCUAUCUCUGUCUUCACCAUAGUUGACACUUAUUGCGUUAGGUUAUUGUGUAAGCCUUACUAAGCCCUUCUUCCAAGAAUUUAUCAUCCGUCCAAGAAACAGCUCUCAGUUUCAUUUGACCAUUUUGAGUUCAAUGUGGCUGGACUUCCUCUCUUAUUGAGCUAGUCAUUUUAAUUCUUUAAAAUCAAUUUCACUCAGUGCUGAGUAAUUGGCAGACAUGGGUGGAAUUCAGCUUUGUGAUAAUACAAUUGUUCCCAUUCUGCUUGCCAGAUGGAAUGAUCAUCCCUCUCCUUCCCCCUCCAGGCAUUGCUCUGUGGGUUCUCCUGUUCCUCCAGAGAGUACAGAAUGGGGUACAGAUAAAGCUUAGGACUUUCUAUCCAUGACCCUUGAAUUGGAGCCAUAUUUCCUAUCUCUAGGCCACACCUCUCAAUGGCUCUCUUCAUGAACUCUUGCAUAUCUGUAAAGUAAACUGAACUAUGGUGAUGUAAACAAUAGUAGUAGACCUCUGACCAUUCUUAUGUGUGUACAUAACACUUUUGGGGUUCCAAAGUUUUUUGUUUUUAUUUUUUACAGUAUAGUGAUUUUGAGAUUGCUCCCAUUGUUAAGAAGCAGGGGAAAUGCCCAGUGAAGUGUAUAAAGUUAUUUUAAUCACUGUGGUGUUCUGAAAGGUGUCAUGUUAUCUUUAGACAAUCGGGAAAGCCUAAUCCUUCAGCUUAAGGAAACAUUAGGUACUUGGCACUUCUUUUCAAGAUCUCAGCUUGUUUUCUGCUACAAGUUAGUAUUAAAUUAAAUCGCCAAGCAAUCUCAGGGCUGACAAGCAGAAGCAGAAGAAAGAAGAGGCUAUGAAAUCUUCAAGCUUUUACUUGUAUCCCCCCACUCCCCCAGUGACUAAUUUGCAGGGUACAUUUGCUACUUUCAAGGUCAAAUUACACAUUUGGAAGUGAUCUGAAGGCUGCCCUGUUUGGGGAAGUUUUUAAUAUUUGAUGAAUUAUUGUAUAAUAUUUUGCUGGAAGCCGCCCAGAGUGGCUGGGGAAAUGCAGCCAGAUGUGUGGGGUAUAAAUAAAGUAUCAUCAUCAUCAUCAUCAUCUGUCUUUUUGCCAGCCUACGACAUCUGGACUACUAUACCAUGCAGAUUACCAUAACAAUCAUGAUUAGACUUAUAAGUAAUACCGUAUUUUUUGCUCCAUAAAACACACUUUUUUCCUCUAAGGGGAAAUGUCUGUGCGUCUUAUGGAGUGAAUGUGUGGUCCCUGGGGCUGCGCUUCCCCCACCGCCAGCCUUUCCGCUGCUCCCCGACCUGCUCUUUGGGUCAAGCAGCUCUGGGGUAGCCUGUGAAGCCUCCGCAGGGCAGCGGGGAGCCUUCAUCCCGCUGCCCUGGGGAGGCUUCGUGCGGCUAUCCCUGGCUUUUGCGGGAGGUGGGGGAAGGGACAGAGCAAGGCUCUCUCACUUCCCCCACCUCCCGCAAAAGCCCCCAAGAGCCACAUAUAUUUUUUUCUUGAAUUCCCCCCCCCCAAAAAAAGUAGAUGAGCCUUAUGGUCAGGUGCACCUUAUGGAGCGAAAAAUACGGUAUAUUAAUGAGACAAUCCAAAGACAGCUGAAUGGUGGCAGGGCAAGGUUGAACCACUGCUGCACCUGCCAACCCAUUGCCCAUCCUGGCCAGGGUGGGAAGUGGGUGGAAGCAAACUGCUGUGCCAGCAUGGAGCUGGUGCAGCGAUUGCGCCUAGCUCAGACCUGACGCCAUCAAGUGACAGCAGUGGAGGCAGCUAAGAUACUGAUGGCUCCCAAAGCCAGCUUAAUCUCUCCCUACCCCAGUACUUCCUGUUUUGAAGCUUCCUGCAAGCAGAGGCCAGUGGAGGCUGGCAGGGCUUGGCACAGGGCCACUUUGGUGCAAAGGGGGUUUGGAUUGUAGCUUCAUGUACUCUCAUUAACAUUGCCAUAUUUUGCAUGAUUAAUAUAUCACCUGUGUUUUUGGUUCUUAAUCAUUUUAUUGCUUUAUAUUAUGUUUUAAUUCUUUUUGUUUUGUGAGAUGCCCAGAGAAAUUAUAUUAUGGGGUGGAAAUAUAAAUUCAUCUAAUAAACAAAAUGUCAUUUGACUGUUCCCCACCCACAGCCAUUCCACCUGACUGCAUCAGAAGGAAAAGUGAGUCAGCCAGACUCCUUCCAUCAGUUUGGACCAUAUGUCUCCUCUUCUCUACAGUACCUGAAUUUGCUUCUUUUCCUUUCCCCUUCCUAACCCAUUUCUUGUAAGCCAUUUAUUUGUGGACUGUCUCCAGAGCAUUCUAAGAGCUGGUAAAAUAUAGGGGGAGGGAGGGAGAGAGAUUUGGGGCAUGUAAUUUCAUAUUUCUGACAUUACCAGAUGAGGAUGGAUAAGUGCAGCAGACGGAAUGAACUGAGGACACGAUCCUCUCACAUGAAAUUCUGGUUCUCAGUUGGGUUCGUCGUUGCUCCUCCCUUUCCCCAAUAGUUAUUGCUGGGCUCGCUGUUGUUGUCAGUUAAUGAUAUUGUUCCCUGCCAGCCCUUGUUAUGGAUGAGUGAGAUAUUUAUCUCACAGACCUAUGGUACAAACUGAAAGCACUGUAACUCAACUAGUGUGCCACUGUGGAAAGUUUGCUGGGCUAUGUCAUAAACUGUCUUUCAAAAAUUUGGGAUCUGAUCCCAUGUGAAUUACCUUUCGGUCCCAUUGACACUGGUGAAACUCUACAUUCUUAACUCCAAGUAUUUUAGCUGAGUAGUAAAUUGUGUUGUCAAUCUAUUUCAUGGAAGAGUAUUGGUGAAAAGAAACGGAUUCAACAGCAAAGUGGAGCUUACACAAGGAACACAGAUGGUCUUGAAAAAAUUUUUACAUUACCUCUGAGUCUUCAAAGUACAGCCAUGAUUCCACAAGCGCACUUUGUUCUACUCACGAUUAAACACAUAUGGUAACAAAAGGUAUUAAGAUUUUUUUCCUGACAUAGGAAAUCAUACUCUGCUUUACUAUUGCGGUAAUAACAACUGGUCUCAAGGGUAUGAAGAUUGCUUGGCUUAGACACUAACCAGAUGCAGUGAUGUCAAGCCCAGAAAACACACUGGAGUAAUAUUGCCAAAAUGCUCAGCAAUGGGUUUUAGGUAAUGCAAUAUAUAUGCAAUGUGUGUUAAAAUGCUGGAGUCUGCAUGAUGCAGGUAUUGUUUAGACACUUUGAGGAAAUGAUAAGAUUGUAUCUAACUGAAUUACAGAAAUUAUGUGGGGAAACAGUUGGGGAAAAGUGGUUUUAUUCACAUGGAACCAUGGAGUCUCACUUCAAACAGCUAUAUGGUACAUUCUGCUAUUCAUCAGAAGGAUAUUCUGCUAUUGUCAGAUGCAGAGUAUUAAUAUUUUUUUCUAAAACAAUUUCAUAGAUCAUUUACAUCAGAGAAAGAGCCAGUGGGGCCAGAUGGUCCAACAGAAGUAAUUAAUCAUGUUACCAUUUGAGCACAGGUCAGACAAAUAGUAGUUUCCUUACUGUCCCAACAAAACUCCUAUGAAUGAAUGAAUGGGUUGGUCCAUAUGCUUACUCUAGUAGUAGAGGACAUGGUCAGGUGAUUCUGCUUACCUAACCUAUGGAUGGUUGUGUCACUGCUCACAAGAAGAUAUACAGUGAAGGGAGAGGCAGUGAGGUUGGCAUGGUGCAAACACACUGGCUGAGAAAAUCCAGUGCUCUUGCUGGUGUGUUUGCAUUGUGCUGACCUCAUCAAAACAUCUCCCUUCACCCUCCCAGUAAGCAGCAGUGAUGUGACCAACCAGAGGUCAGGUGAGCAGGUCAGCCACUAGUGGUUUACUCUCUUCCUUGCUGACCACUUUCUUUCUUCCUUUGCAAUAACCCACCCACCCACCCACCCACACAAUCUUUCUUCCAACGUGGAACCCAAAGUGGUAAACAUGUCAUUCUCAGAUGGCUUUCCAUGUAAGAACAGACCAGAUCCAGAUCUGCUUAUCUCAAGCAGGGUUCUGGCCCCCUGCACCAUCAAAAAGUACGGUGGACUGUACUUGCAACAAAAGUCCCCCCCCCUCCAGUCACUCACCACAUACACAAGUCAAAAUUUUGCUCAUUAUUGACACAUCCAUGUUCACAAAUGAGCAAAUAAAAUGGUGGUGUGUGACCAAGUUCACUAGCAUGCAUAGAUUCUGUAGCAGCUGGGAUGGUGGGGCAGAGCUACUGAGCUGCCUUCCCAAAACUGGUGGCACUGUAGCUUACCUGGAUGGGAAGGGGGUGCAGAGGAGCAGCAAAAUAUGAAAAUAGGAUUUCUAAUAUUCUCUGUCUUGUUAUAAGGUGCUUUUACAGAGCAGUUUACUCUGGACUCAGUGCAACUCAUAUGCUGUAUGCCAGUUUUUCUCAGGUCAGAAUCUGCAUGGUAUCACCCUCAUCAAAAUGCAUUCCAUAUUUCGCUUCCUGCCCUAAAUUUAAUCUAGAUUCACCAUUUCCACAGGUUUCUUUCUUUCUUUAUUGGCUUUUCCGUGGAAAUGGGAAAUCUGGAUUAUUUGAGCAAAUAAUAAGUGGCAACACUUUGGUAAGGAUGUGACUGUGCUGAUGCAGUGAUAAAUGGCCUUGUGGAAGUUCCCAAAUGCUCAUAACUGCAGUUAUAUAGACUGAUAUUUCUGAAGACAUUGUGUGCUGCAGUUCUAGCAUAACUCUGCAUGAGAAUUGCAAUAAAAAUGCAAACUUAUAACAAGAAAAACUGUGUUAUCAGUCAAGAAUCACCAAACCCAAAAUAUUUCUGUUGGUGCAAAACAUACAUUGCAUAUCUAGUCUACAUAAUUUAUUUUCAGACCACCUUGCAUUUCUACCUCUCAGAGUCUGAAUCCAUGAAAAGUUUAUUAUUAUUAUUCUUUAUGUUUCCUGAGGCAAUACAAUUUUCUCUUCACACCACCAAAUGUAGCUUUUAAUUAAAUCAAGACCUCAAGCAGAGCAAAAACACUAGACACGUGUAAACUAUUUGAACGGCAAAUGCAAGUGUUCUGUACUUUCCAUUUGCUGCUGGUUGAGGAAAAACAACAACACUUUCCUUUUAAAUGCUGGCAAUGCACAUCCCUCCAUAUGCAUAAUGUGCAAAAGGAAAAGCCACAUAUGUCUGGGUUCAAUAGGUCUGAGCUCACUUUUUUUUGUGGCAGAGCCAAGCCACAUAUACGUGAAAUACAAUGUGUACAGAUUUUUGCCCAGUAUUGAUUCCAGCCGUAGGGUAAUGAUACUUAUAAAACUGUAGCUGUCUAAUAAGAAAUGUAUUAAGAACCCUUUCUAGGUUCCCGCAUGGUCAUAGCAGCUCACAAAUGUCUAAGCUUAAAUCUACACCAUACUUUUAGAAGGAAAAUCCAGACAGCUAAUUUUUUUUCCCAGGCUGUAAUGGAAAUGUUUUAGCAAUAUAUGCAAAACUGGUGUGUGUCCCAGUUUCAGAAUGAAAAAUUCAAAGGAAAUCCAAUUCUUCCAUUCGUUUCAGUCCAAAUCAUUAACUGUUUCAUGUUGUAUGACAGGAAAGGGAAAUUUCAAGCCCAGGGGCCAAAUGCCCGCCAGGUUUCACUAUUCAGUCUCUAGAAGUCAUCUUAGGCCCACACCCCUCCCGAGCCCACGUCGAGCAUUUUUGCCUGACUGGAAUGAGCCCUUUAUGCUUCUUGCAUAAGUGAGUAGAAACUAUUGUACUGUACAAAGGUAAAAUUUACAUUUGUUGAUCUUCCCACUUUUGCUUUUGGCCCCAUCCUUCACUAGCAUGUGGCCCUCAGAAGGUUGAUCUGAAUGGAAUGUGGUCCUUAGGCCUAGAAAAGGCUUUCCUUUGGCACCAACCAUGAUCUCUCUGUGUGUUUGUGGGAUUCUAGUAUCUGAACUAACCACACCAUCCCGCUAUCCUUCACCAUCCCUGAAACCAUUUACCACAACUGCAAUGGUAACAUAGGAAGCUCAGGGCAAGAUACAUACAAGGGCGUAUUGCAAUAGCAAGCCUUGAAGAUCCUACCUUUUUUGAGAUUCCCCUAUUAUAUUGGAUAGCUGUUUAAAAGGAGGAGGAGGAGGAGGAGGAGGAGAAAGCUCUUUCCAGUUUUUGAACUUUACACUGUUGCUGAGAGGCUGAUACAAAUUGGCACUCAUAGAGUAUCACUUGGAUGAGGUAAGUGGCUUUUUUUGCUCUCUUCCAUUUCUUGGAAGGAUAACACUGAGCGCAUGGUUGAGAGGCCUUAGCUAUGCUUUAAGGGUGUGUUUAAGCUCUCUAGGACCAAUUUCUGAGGCAAGAUGUCUAGGCAACUGAAUCAUUCUGCUCAUUAAAUGCGCAAUCUGGAAACAUCACCUGUCCAGCCUGAUCCCAUUUCCAAUAAUAGGUGAAGUCAAGACCCAUUCUCCUUAAGCGAAGAAGGGAAAGGAACACUGAUUCAUGUUUCCUUGACUCCUGUUUCCACUUUAAUGUCUGAAGUGAGAUUUCUGGAUUUCACUUGGAAGUCAUUUGUCCAUUCCCCCCACCCCACCCCCACUUUUGCUUCUUAGUAAUGUAUUGUAUAGUAGUUUAUUUAUUUAUACUUAAGGUUAUUUAGAAGCCAAAUUUCCACCAUAAAAGCCCUCAGAGCUGCAUCCAUGAUAAUUAAAAGAAUGAAACAAACAUAAAACACAUUUAAAAUUAAUUUAUCAACACAUCUGAAGUCUAAAACAACAGAUUCAUCAAGAAUAAAACAGUGUGGACUACUGUAAUCUUUAGAGUAUGGCAAGAUUUUCUAACAUAUAAUUUAGCAUGGGUUAUUUAUAAAAAGACAGGACAUUUCUACCAGAUUUUUUUCCCCUAUUAAAAAAAAAAAAGCUUUGUGGAACUGCAUAUGAUUACAUUUGCUCUGAUACGGAACACAAUUCUUCUAUGAAGCCAUGGCCUGGUUCACAUACAAUGCUAAACCAAAUCAUGGCUAAGUGUGAAUGUGGGAAUGUGCAGGUUCUUACAGCAAAAAUUGUGGCCAUUUCACUCCUCCCCAGUCUUGUGGCUGUUUUCCUACUCAGAGCUAAGAUGAUUUGGCUUUGUGUUAUGCCUGAAACCAGGCUCAUGGGUUCUCUCACUCAAGACAUAUUAUGAGCUAUAGCUUAGUUUUGUCCUUAGUUUACUGCUCUAAGGGCUACAAACCAUGAGCCUGGGUUCAAUGCAAUAUUAAACCAAACCAUGGCUUAGUUCCUGGAAGCACAACAGAACUGAGGGAGAAGGAAAAACUGUCACAACUUUUGCUAUUGAGUACAAGCAUGCUCACAUGUUCAUAAUUCACCAUGGUUAAAGAUAAAAGAUAAACAUUAUGUUUUGAGGUCCACAGCUACAAUUCACUUUCCUUGUGCAUCUUCAGAUAUCUGUCCUCGAUUUCUUUAUAAAAAACGGGUUUAGUCAAAUGAAUGGAUGAAUUAAAUGUCCUGCCAACUUAAAAACAGUAACACUGUGCCAUUUCCAUUCAAUUAAUUUCCUAAACAUAUUGUUGGAAGCAGAGCUGUACCAAGUAUUGGCUACCCACGCCUGUACAAAAAACUGUCUGACUGCUAAUUUAAUCAGGAAUUAUUUUCCUUCAGGCCAGUCUGUAUGAAUGGUGCUGGACACAGUAAGGACAAAUACCAAACCGAGCCUUGAAACAUAUUGUUUCUGAAAUGUAUUACUGUCCUUUGUCUGUGUUCAUUCAGGCUGGAUGUUUUCCUGAGAAAAUUUUCCUGUGCCUCCUUUUUUCCCAGGUCACUCAUAGACCCAUUGACUUCCUGCUGGUGUGAGACAAAUAUCUGGGGAGUCCUUCCAAUUGGAAACCAUAUUCUACAUUACUCAACUUUUCUCCCACCCCCUUUCCUUAGGUCUACUGUCCAAGCAGUACUAUAAUUAUGAGUACAGGGCAAACAAGCACUCCUUUUUAAAGUUAACAGGUUUAUCCCUCUGGUUUCUGUCCCUAGCUAACAGGCUCUCAGUAUGGAACCAGUGAGCUAUCCAGAGAUAUAGUUGCUGCUGAGUUAUAAUCAUCCCAUAAGACCUGGAACAUUAACCUAUCCUGAAAUGUUAGCAAUGUCUAGAUUUUGAUCCACCUCUAUCACCUGUGGCCCAGAGGACAGCUCUCGCAAGCUGUCAACUCACUUUGGCUUCUGCACUAAGUUCUGUCACAGGUUUGGGACAGUAUGAGAUUAAUCUGAAGGGGGUUAGAGUUGAUAUGUAGACAUGCCAUUAGAUUUACUGCAUAAGACUUGUUUCUUUACCCCAAAGCAUGCCUGAAUGGCCGUUUCCCACUGUUCCCGGAUCAAUACCACAGAAGAUGGCUUGGAAACAUGUAGUGUCUCUGAAGAGAAGGGAGAAUACUGUGGGGUCACUUCUAUGCUCACCUCAGAAAGCCAGGCUUUUGUUCUAGAUGCAUGAUGGCGUCUCUGUGAGCCAUGUGGGCUUGCUAGAGUGUUUAACCUAAUCCCCUAAACAGGGGAUUUCUGUCUACUAUAUGUCAGCUCCCUACAAAAGCACUUUUCUUCACUUUUACUCAUUCAAAGCAGUAAAGCUGAACCUCCUUGCUGAGGUGCAAUUGAAAAUGCGGUGCAAAUAGACCUCCAGAGGAAUCUGGGUUGAGUGAAUGGUAAUGCCUUGUGCUUCUUAUACAGCAGGAUAUUCCGCACAGUUUCCAACGCCAUGUGCAAAGAGGUGAUUUUGUUGGUUUCCCCUAAUAGAGUCCUGACUAAGGAGGUGAUUGCCUUUCAGGACAAACGGUUACAGCAACUAUGGUGAAAGGUGAUUAAAGAGUACUACACCGAAUAAUGUUUUGGCCUUGAUGUGGUGCCAGCUGGCAUGGAAGCUGCAGAACAAACCUUUGCUUCAACUUCUUCCCCUCCUGCUACUAAAAUCUUAUCAGUCUCUCUCUUUUUGCCUCAAGAAAGGCAUUUUUGCAGAUGUUUCAGGGAGGAUACAAUUAGCCCUUUUCUAUUGUAUUUGUAGGGACGUUAGGGCUUCUUUCCGGAAUGAAAUAACACUGCUUCUCUCGGGACUAUUACUCAGCCAGAGAGAAGGGUGUUCUUAAGGAGCUUGUUUGAUGGUUUUGCAAAAAGAUGAAUGAAACUGUUUAAAACAGAGCUGGGGCCGGGCACCCUCAUGAUUCAAGAGACCUCACAUUGCAAUUGGGCCAUGCCACGCUCAUAAAACAAAUUGAGAUCCAUGUGACAUCUUCUGUCUUUCCUUUUUCAAACUGCAGAAAGUCUGUCUUUUUUCAGAACAGAAAUGUAACCUCAAUUGCCAGAGGUGGAGCUUCCUGUAGGACUCUACUGUAAUCUUUUUUAAAAAGAUUGGGGAUGAAGUGGACAGAGGCAUAAAGUUAUCACAGUUCAGCACAUGUCCACUGUAACACUUAUGGUACACAUCAUUUUAUGACUUUGGUUAUAUUAUUAUUUAAAUAAAUUAUUUAAUUUAAAAAUCCACACACAAAUGAUUAAACAUGAUUCUGGUAACCAUCAUUUUAGCAACAUGGUUCAAGGCAGUGACUGGAAAGCAUGUUUUAGAAAGAAAGAAAGAAAGAAAGAAAGAAAGAAAGAAAGAAAGAAAGAAAGAAGGAAAGGUGAAUCAUAAUGUUGUAAUACUUGUCUUUCAUAGGAAAGCUGCCUCACAGACAGUAGCUGAAGAGUGAAACCAUGGAAGACAAGAAGAAAGGUAGGAAAUCUGUUAUUUCAUUUCCUGAUAGUACACUUUAAUGUGACUGAACCAUACAAAUCUUCUGUCACUUGCUUUGAAAACCUCUUUGGGUUAUAAAGCAGGAUACAUGUGUUCUAAAUAAAUUAAUAAAAUGUCAUGCUAUCACAGUUACUGAAAGACAAUGGAUGCUGAUUUCCCUUUUUGCAUUGUAGAAACAAGAUGCCCACUGGUGCUUGUGGAUGUGAUGUAAUGUGGAUUGUGAAACCUGUUUUCUGGAUCUUACAUACUCUACAAAGUCAUGUGCAAGACUUGGAACUAUAAAUGUUACCAUAAUAGACUGCAAAAGAGGUGGUUUAAUAAAAGCAAAUUGAAGUUGUGGCUUAUGCUUUAAGGCAGCCAAGCCAGGUGAUUCCCUUUUGGCAUGCUUUGAUUGCAAAACUGUAUGCAUUUUUUAUUGUAAAGAAAUGUUAUAAAGGUGUCAUAACCACUUCCAAAAUAUUAUGAGUGCUGGCUGUAAGCUACUGAGGUGUUUCUCAAGACUGUGAGUGAGAUUUUCUCUAAAAUUCAGUCAGGAUUUUGUUCAGUUGGGAUAUUGUUUAUUCUUUUUUAAAAAAAACAACAACCCUGUGCUUAAAUUGGAUGCUUAUACUUUGAAGGAAAAGCAGCCACAUGGGAUCUGAUCUGAAAAGCAUUCUUUAAAAAUAUCAUUUUUAAUUUUUUACACAUCUGAGAUUACUUGAAUCCCUGGACUUCCCCCCACCCCCACCCCUGGUUUCCAAUAUUUAUCUGUUCUUUCUGCUGCAUCUAAUUACAUUUUUCAAAUUCAUUUUAUAUCUAUUUUUAACUUUAGCCUUAUUACAUUAUAAGUGUUAUAACAAUCCUGCUAACGUUUUUAAUAUCUACAGUGAUCUUUAAGGUACUCUGUAAAAUUUUCCCACUCUUUACUGAAUUUCUUAUCAUACUGGUAUCUGAUCUUCACAGUCAUUUUUGCCAUUUUGGCAUAGUCCAUCAACUUGGUUAUCCAUUCUUCUUUGGUUGGGACUUUCUCUUCUUUCCAUCUCUGGGCAAAAAAGCAUUCUUGCAGCUGUUGACACAUACAUAAGCAGUCUUUUCAAGUUCUUUGGUAUUUCAUCUCCAAUUAUUCCUAAUAAGAAAGCUUCUGGUUUUUUGACAAAAGUUAUAGUAAACAUUUUUUUUCAAUUCAUUAUAUAUCAUUUCCCAGAAUUCUUUUGUUAUUUUGCAUGUCCACCACAUGUGGUAGAACGUACUUUCUUUUUCCUUACACUUCCAGCAUAAAUUGGUAGUGUUUCUAUACACUUUUGCUAAUCUUAUAGGCAGUGCUUUUUUUCUUAAAAAAUGUUUGGGGGUACUCUCAUUUUCCUACUCAUAUUGAAAUACUGCCCCUCAAUGAGGCCAAACUUAGAUUCACAAAAUGUUCAGGGGUGUGUGUACUCCUGCAUACCCCCAGAAAUAGCACUGCUUAAAGGAGUCAAGUCCCAAUGAUACAUCAUUUUCAUAUAGUUCUCUUUCAAUGUACAACAAGCUGAUCUGAAAAACAUUCUUGAUCCAGAAAUUUUUUUUUUGGGGGGGAUAUUGCUGUUUUCCUCUCAAAAUAAAGGUAGCCAGUUUAAGCUAUUUCAUAAUAUGUAGGUUUUGGGUUUUCAAGUUGCUUUGUAUCCAGGGUGAGGGCCAAACGUAACCCUUUGGACCUUUCCAUCCAGCCAUGGCAGGCACUGCUCCAUGCCCAUUUGGAAUACUUCUGCCUGGCUGAAAUUUAUUCUUCAACUGAUAAUGCCCCUUGUUUGCCUGGAGUGAUGUUUGCUUAGAAACCUCUAAGCUUUGCCAGAGUUGCUCCAUUGGCAUUUGGCCCCAUGAGGCAAUGUGGCCCUAAGGCUGAAAAACAUUUUCACACCCCUCUUUUAACAUCUUCAUUUGGGUCUACGUGGUAUAUGAAACUGCAAGACAACACCAGGCUGUCAAAUUUCAAGAUAAGAGGGCUUUGAAUCCUUGUGAGCUUUUGUUACAGCCAAAUAAAAUUCAUUCAUUUAUUUAACAACAAUUAUACACCACUUGGUUGUAAAAAGAAAACCCCCUCUAAGUGGUUUACAGCUUUGUAAAAUAAGCAUUAAAAGCAACCAACAACAACAACAACAACAAAAACCCAGAAGUGAUAGAAAAGCAGGAAGAGAUUUGGACUCCCCUUGUUCCACUCUCAGAGUGUUUUGAAAAUUUUCUGUUUUCAAAUAUAGCAAUUGUGAAUGCUUAUUAUCUAUAAGGAAAAGCCUGACUAUUUCUUUAUGGUUUAUCCCUAUUUGUCCCUAUAUGCAUUUUUCAUGAUAUGCAAUUAGUUUUCAAGCAGACCAAAAUUUGUCCACCUACUGGAUAAGUGUACCUGCCUCAAGUGGCAAGUUCCUGUCAAAAUGGUGGCUCUUUGCCCAGGGAAACAAAUUAGUCAUAUUUCUUCUCAAGAAAUCUGGAGAGUUUUCAAGCAUUCAUUAGUCUGCCUAUCCUUUGAAUAGCUCUGGCUCUAAUUCUCUUACUCUCUAGACAGGACAUAGAAACCCUAGAAUGAUUUGGUUUAAUUUAAUGAACUCCUGGAGAGGUGAAACAGUUGCCCUCAGUCCCAUCUGGUUUCAGGGUAAUGAAGGAAGAAAUCUGACUGGGAUUCCAUCUUCAGAUUUGUGGAUGAACGGCUAGAAUGCAGCAGUCCUCUCAAAUGUUACUGGUUUUCUAGUUAAAGUAACACUGUUUUGAUUUGGAAAACUGACCAUAAUAUAACAUUGUUCAAAUGUGAUACAUCCACCAAUUACUAUAAAUAAGACAGAGAAGAAUAAUGUGGGCAGCUUUGAAUGGGAAAAGAUGGGUCAAAGUUCUCCUUUUUUAUUUCAUUAAUUCAUCCAAUCAGUCAGUGCUUUUUUCUGGGGGGACACAUACCCCUAAACAUUUUGUGAAUACAAAUUUAAUAAAUACUACUACUACUACUACUACUACUACUACUACUAAAGAAUAGCAGUCUAGAGUCAUGGCCCAACUAUCAAGAAGGCCUGAUCUCUCAUCACCACCUGCUUAACCUUUGCAGAUAAGAACAUCUUAAAUGGGAUUUAUUCAGAUGAUGUCAGUGCAUGUUCAGACCUGUGAAUACACAAAUGGUCCCUGAAAAACAUGAGCUUUAUAGGUUAAAAUUAGUACUGUGCUGAAAAAUUCUCCCACUUUUCUUUGUUUCUUUACCACUGGAAAUUAUCAAUGGGAGAGGAAUUUUUUUGGUAAAAUUCUCAUGGGUGGUGCAGAGCUUGCUUGUGCCUGCCUUGCUUUCAAAGUGGCCAAGAUAAGCCUUCUUUCUUUCUGCAAAUAAUCUCUCUAGUGAUGUGCACUCUGCAGCCUUCCUGGCUGCAUGCCUUUACUUUUUUUAAAAAAAAUCCAUGUCAUUUUCAGCUGCUGAUUGUUGUUAUUUUUCUUUUAAGUGAAACUUUCUUACUUUUAAAGAAAUGAGUAUAGAAAGUUUUUCUUUGAAGGUUAAAGAGAAUGGACUUCCCAUAAAAACAGCAUCAGCAAGUGCACUGAUCUCAAGCAUAAGGUAGCUGGCCUGCCCAGCUUUCCCAUGCUUGAAAUUUAUGGAGUAACUCCUCCCAUGCAACUUUUUCAGAUUAGGAAGUGCAAGCAACCAGGGAGGCUGCAGAGGAAAAAACACACACCAUCCAUAGCCACCUUGCACCAGUAAAGUCAGUUCAACCUUUCAUCCCCCAAAUCCUAAAGGCAUUCUCAGGAAAUUCUAAAGCAUUCUGAGCAUGAGUUAAAAAAAUAAAGCCUCUUUCACAGGGAAGCAACACUUCUGAGAAAUUAGAGGAUAGGUUUUGGCAGAGGACUAAUUAAAAUCAACACUGAGUCAUGCUUAGAAACUUACGUUAACCCAGGUAGGCUGUUUCAAAAGUGAUGAAGUAUAUUUCAGGCAACUGUAACUAUCAGCAAUCUAGCAGCUAUAUUUUUUAUUUUUUAAAAAAUCAAAGUUUGAGCCUUCAAAGCAGCCUCAAACAUGACCCACUGCAGUAGAUUACAUACCAGCGUGGUACCAGAUUAUGUAUUUAGUGAGUACAGAUCUCUGUUUCUUAGUUCUCAGUACUACUUUGGAUGUUACAAUGCAAAUUCUGCUAACCACUUCCAAAGUCAUUUCUCCAUUCUAGGGCCAAGGCUUGUAUGUGAUGUCUGAAGGUUUUGAGCAUUGAGGUAUGUGAGCUGUAGACAUGAGUUCGGCCUCUGCAAUUUUCUUGUAGAGAUCAUUUCCAGACAUAACAAGCGAGAUCACCAGUCGUUUGCAGAAGAGACAUCACAGAACGUCAAUGUCUCAUGUUCAGAAUGUCAGAAGCCGCUCUCAGUCUCCAGUGGGAUUAGCAACAACCUAGCUGGCAAGAUUGCUUAAAGAGGAACAAAAACAAAGCCUCUUUGCAUAGUUAUAGCCUAGCGUCUCUGCCCUGUAAUGUGAAACAGAGUAAUAUGUAUUUAUUACAAAAUUGUUUAAACUUCCAAAGUUUAUUAAACAUAAAUAUAUAAUAUUACCAAGGCAUUAUUUUGAAAUGUUAAUUAUACCUUCUUUACGAUUUCCCCGGGUGCCCCUGGUUACAUUAAUGUUAGGGGCAAAACAAAGAAGUUAAAAUCUAAAGAGUGCUUAUUGCUACAAGUAACAGCAUGACAAGAAACCUGCCUUUCACCAGAAUGAAGUUCACCCUAGGCAAUGGCUGUUAGGCUAUCAAAGGGCAGAGUUCUAUUGGGAUGAGAUUUUAAGUAUAACAAAUUGUCUGUCGACAGGCUGAAAUGCCACACAGGGAUAGACUGUCCAUUCAAAGAGCAGAAACCUCACUUAUCCGACACAUAAAUGGGGAAAAUGUCCAUAUAACAUGCCAUCAGGCCUCUUCGAUUCAAGUUUGUGUCCCUGUGCAGGGAACCCAAUGCAUGUACAUCCAUAUGUACUUACAACAUUUGUUUGGGAAGGGUUGUAGCUCCGAGAUAGAAUAACUGCAUUGCAUGCAUAAGAUCCCAGGUUUAAUCCCUGCCAUCUCCAGGUAGGCUGUGUCUGAAACACUGGAGAGUUGCUGCUGAGCUAGGUGGACCCAAGUGUCUCACUCAAUAGAAGGCAGUUCCCUUUGUACCUAGGCUCCCUUCAAAUCGACACCAUUGCACAUCAGGGAGUGGCAUAUUGGUGUCUAGGAAGCAGCAAGCUACACCAUCCAGAAACCCUAUUACACAUUUGGUACUCAUUGGUACCAAAUGACUGAACUAUUGUUAACUGUUUUGAUGGUGUGACCACACUUGGAAUACUGUAGACUAUUCUGGUCACCUCACCUCAAAAAGCAUAUUGUAGAGUUGGGGAAAGGCAAACAAAAUGUUAGAGAAGAUGGAUCAAUGUUUGCAGCAUUUUUAGUUUAGGGAAAAGGCACGUGAGAGGUGACAUGAUAGAAGUUUAUCAAAUUAUGUCUGGCAUGGAGAAAAUGUACAGUGGUACCUCAGGUUAAGUACUUAAUUCGUUCCGGAGGUCCGUUCUUAACCUGAAACUGUUCUUAACCUGAAGCACUACUUUAGCUAAUGGGGUCUCCUGCUGCUGCCGCGCCGCUGGAGCACGAUUUCUCUUCUCAUCCUAAAGCAAAGUUCUUAACCCGAGGUACUAUUUCUGAGUUAGCGGAGUCUGUAACCUGAAGCGUCUGUAACCUGAAGCGUCUGUAACCUGAAGCUUAUGUAACCCGAGGUACCACUGUAUAGACAAAAGUUUCAUUCCCUCUUUUAUAACACUAGGGUUCCUGGGCAUCCAAUGAUGCUGAAUGUUGGAAGAUUCAAGACAGUCAAAAGAAAGUACUUCUUACCACAGUGCAUGGAAUUUGCUCCCACAAGAGGAUUAGACAAAUUCAUGUAGGAUAAGACUAUGAAUGGCUGCUAACCAUGUAGCUGUAUUCUCCCUCCACUGUCAAAGGCAGCAUGCUUCUGAACACCAGUUUCUCAAAGCCACAGGAUGGGAGAGUGCUGGGCUCAGGUCCAGGCAUCUGGUUGGCCAUUGUGAGAAUAGGAUGCUGAACUAGAUGGGCUGUUGGCUUGAUCCAGCAGGCUCCUUUUAUGUGUGUUUGUGUGUGUGUAAAAGCAUCCUAGAGCAAUGGGGACUCCAUGGCAUUCAAUAUGUUGUUCAACUCCAACUCCUGUCAGCAUGAUUCAAGAUGGUUAAACUACCUGAGAGUAGUAUCAUUCAUCUCAGGGUACUUUGGACAUCAACGUGGGCUAAUGACAGCCUGCUGGGCAAGAAUUUGAAAUCAUGGCCCACCACAAACAAAAAAAGUUGUAUUAGUUGAGAUGCAAGCUGGGAAUCUUCAGCCUAAAGGAUUGAUAAGGUUUGACUUCAUAAUUGUUGCAAUCUACCAUAGUUAGUCAUGUUGACACCACACUCUUGCAUCAGUUGACAAGACGAGACGAGACACAAUAGCUACAAAUUGUGAGGCCAGAUUAUUUGCAUGAUAGACUACAUUAAAAUAGGAAGCAGAAGUAAAUCUAACAAGCAGUGUUGACAAUGGUCAUGGUGGGAAGAAGUUUUGUAGUUUGACUCUUACCAAUUAAUAUUUAAUUCCAUGCCUCAGAAAACAUAAUCAAAGUUUUUAUGCGUUCCAAAUUGGUUUGGCCUGGAAGACUGUUGUGUGGUUUAAACACUAGCAUGACUGUAAACACAAAGCAAUGAUGAACCAUACUAUGAGGAAUUGGAAAAAGCUGUGUACUGGGAUACCAUCGAGUUUUCUGUUUACUGCCUUCUCUGGAUUCCUUUUUUUUUUUUAAGAUAAACAAAUCCAGACAUAGAUCAGUCCCUUAGGUCUGUUUCUUGCACAUAACAGAAUGCAGGGAGCUGCCUUUUACACAUAGAUUUCUUUAUUACUAUUCUGUAGCAUUUCAAAUCCACAGAAGAGAUAAACAGAGCCACAAAUACUUAACCAGUUCAAAGUAAAAGCCUGUGCACUCUAUCUGGGGUGACAUUUGAGGCUGCUUCGGAAUAUACAUUGAAUGCAAAAAGCUGUAGCUAGAAUGUAAUUAAAGCACCUUACAUGUGAUGACAAUGUGUGUGAGGAGCUGCAUUGCCUAGGGAUAUACUACCUAGGUAGGUGCAAGUCUCUUGAACUGAUUUAUAAAGUCCUAUUUUGGGACCAGAUUCUCUAAGGGAGUACCCUCUUCCAUAUCACCUGGAUUAGACAAUGAGGUCAGCAAGAGAGGGCCUGUCUUUUGUGGCACCCUCUCUAUGGGACUAACUACCUCUGAGUUAUGAAAGGUAUUGAUACUGAUAAUAUUUCAGCACCUUCUGAAAACUCAUUUUUUAGCAAACUUUUUCUGAAAGUUAGUAUCAGUUGAUUCUAAAUUUGUUGUGGUGUGUUACUGCUGUUUUUUUAAAAAAUCAUAAUUGUAUAUGUGCUGGUUUUAAUUGUGAUAUAUUUCUUCAUUUAUUUAACAAAAUGUUUAUGUUCUGCAAUCUCAUAAAAAUAGAAGAGUAUAACAAAUAUCUGUAGUAUAAAGCCACAUUUAAAAAAACAAAACCACAGUUCACCAGCUAACUGUGACAGAAAUAUACCUUACUGUGCAAUCUGCAUAAGCCAAACAGCAUAGAAAAGUUAUCAGCAAACAUUUAAAAAUUAAUACUGAAGUCACCUGCUGAAUAUCUAUUGGCAGGGUAUUCCACAAGACCAGGCCAAUAACAAUGAAGGAUCAGUUUCGUGUUAACAUUAGAUGAGCCUCACCAAUUUGGAGGACAACAUAGUUGUUCCUACAUGUGAUAUCAGUGCUAUUUUGUUGUAUGUUGUAGACCACUUUGGGAAUUUAAAGAAAAGCAGUAUAAAAAUAGUUAGUUAGUUAGUUAGUUAGUUUGAAUGAAUGCUUUCGAAAUUGCAGUCUAAAAGAAUAAAACAAGAAAAAUACUCUUAGUGGCACAUUCUCAGAUAGAUAGAUAGAUAGAUAGAUAGAUAGAUAGAUAGAUAUUUCUAUUUAAAAAUCAUUGUCUUUGACUUCAGUGAGGCUUACUACCAGGUAAGUAAAUGUAGCUUUGAAGGAAAAUAUAUAAAGCCACACUAAAAUGCAAUAACAGAAUACUAGGUACAAAACCAAAUCUGGAAGCCACGUCUCAUAUGAGCGCAGCUUCAAAAGAACCAGUGAUAACUCAUGCCCUCCAGUGGCUUCACGGUUCCCUGAAACCAUGAUCUACUUCUACCAUUGGAGGCAGUAUGGUUCUGAAUAUCAGUUGUUACGAAUCACAGCUGAGGAGAGUGCUAUUAUGCUCAGAUUCUGCUUGCAGAAUUUCCAUGGGUGUCUGGAUGGCCACCGUGAGAACAGAAUGCAGGACUAGAUGGGCCUUUUUAUGGUCUUAUGAACCAUAAAGUCAUCAAAAUACUUGACCUCAAUAAGAAGACGACAUGUGAUGCUUUUUUCCUGUGCAUACUUUAGCAACAGUUAUCCAUCACUACAUGUCAGGAAGUAAAACAACCUACCGGAAAAUUCCAGAGAGAACCAUCAAUCCAUCACCUAACUAUCAUCUUGUUUAUGGGAAGCACAGAGCAUUAAGUCAGCCUUGACUCAAUUUUGGCAAUGUGAAAAUAGUCUUUAGGCUUGAACUUUGCCAUAUGUGGCCAGAUUCUCCUCACAUUCAGAGAAAAUCCAGUGGGGUCAAAGGGGCUGCUUAGUGAUUUAAGAAUAUAUACCAAAUGCCCAUUCUUGUGAUUUGUGAUCCACAGUAGGCGACUGAUCAUGCAUGUGAUUUCCAAUGAAACUCUGACCACUAAAUCAUUUUGUUACUCUUUUUUAUUUUACUUUGUAGCUGUUGAGCAUCUCUUUCAACCUGGGCAGAGUGUUCCUUCAUUAAAUUUCCUCAGUAUAUGAACUACAUACAGACAUUCAGUCCAGAUCAAAACAAUCAUAAAACAAUGUCUUUGUAGUCUCUACCAAACUGUUUUAAUAUUUUUCUUUGAUAUCCGUUUUUCCGAAAGCUGCACACUCCCACGUGCUGAUAGAUAUAAAUGUAAUUUCCUUCUAAAUUUCUUCUUUUGUUUCCAAGAUCUGAAGAAAAAUAUUUUAAGACUUUUUAUAACAGAACUUGAAAAGAAGAUUGCAUCAGUCAGAACAUAGUAUGAUAUUUCAAAUAAGGCAGUAUAAAUUGUGCAUAUGUUGAUUUUACAGAUGGUGCCUACAAAAGGUGCCAAUUAGUUUGGAAGGCUACAUGGAAUUUUUGAAGAUGGCACAAUUGACUGAUUUCAACAGACACACAAUGUUGUUCAUUUGUAUUUCAUUAUCUGUUUGGAGUACUAUAGAGGGGCAGUCUUAAUCCUACCCUACAAGCCAUCACACAGAACUAUCUAACCAACCUGGUUGCAUGUAUCUGGCUGGCUUUCAGCACUCAAUAUUUUAAUACGGAUAACUGUAUUGCCAUAUCAUGUAAGACAAUCAUUAUCUUGAGGAAAUUAGGGUGGUGCCCAGCAACUGCCCCCCUCAUGCCUGGAUAAUACCUGGAAAUCCUGCGGAUCUGGGCCUUUGAGUGGUUAAUUCUACUUAUUCCAUAAAGUGGUAGCAUCUCAUACUUAGUUAUGCUAAGACAGCACUGUGUAAGAAUUGUGACCUUCUAGAUAAGUUUCCUCAGGGAUCUCAUGCUGACACCUGCUAUAGGGAGUAUCAGACAGGCCUGGAAGUUAUCUAUGUUGACUUCCUGCCAAGUAUUAACAUUUUACUCUGAUGAGAAACUGAUGUGUCAUCCAAACACCAGGUGUGGCUUAUGUAACCAAACUGUAUGAAGUGGUCUUUCACUUUUUUGGGAAUGGGUCGUCUGUGAUUUAUGUAAAGGGAUAAAAAAAACCCUAGAACAUCUCUGUUAGCUGGAACCUCAGCACAGGCUAACAUCCAAAUUUCCAUCUCCUUAUUCAUGGUUGAAUAAGGGGUCCUCUGACAAUGUAAAGGGACAUAAGAUAAGAGCAGUGCUUUGUAGCUUUCUUUGGGCUAAUAGAAUUUUCAUCCCAUCUGAGUGUUCAUUGUGCUUCACAUUCAUAAAGAACCAUUGGCCCUUGGGUAACACAAUAGUAAUACUAGAAGCUGUCUUUCAUUGAGCCUGACUGUUAGUUCAUUUACUUCAGUGUUGCCACCAAAUGGCAGAAGUGACUCUCCAAAAUUUCAGACAGGAUUCCUUCCCAGUCCCACCUGGAGAUUACAGUCUGACCACAGAGUUUAAAUAUGAACAUUCAGAGUGCUGUUGCAUGGGGCUAAAAUUGCAGCUGUUUUGCUUUCACCUCUGCUUCUUCUGUACUGCCAGGACCUAAGACCUUAGCAUUACGUUCAAGCUUGGGUUUCACUCUCCUUGAACUAACAAUGAGCUGUAACCAGUGUUUGUUCAUAAACAAGGUUUGUUCUGGAGUUUCUGGGUUAGGGUGAUUUCCCUCCCUUUAAUCUUUUGUUCCACAUUUUUCUUUGAGUUGAUGAGGAGGGUAGACUUUCGGAGUCUACCCUGGUAAGCCCUUGACAUGCCCAUUCCUCACCACUACUCCCAGCAGCAGCAGGAACAACAACAACAACACCUUUAUAUAUACAGUGGUACCUUGGUACUUGAAGAGCUUGGUUCCCUAACAAAUCAGCUCCCGAAUGCUGCAAACCCAUCCGGUUUGCUGACGUUUUUUGGAAGCCAAACUUCCAACAUGGCUUCCACAGCUUCUGAUUGAGUGCAGGAAGCUCCUGAAGCCAAUCAGAAGUCAGCCUUGGUUUUCGAAUGGUUUCGGGAGUUGAACGGACUCCUGGAAUGGAUUAAAUUUAAGAACCAAGAUACCACUGUGUGUUUGUAUAUAUAUAUACACACACACCCUGACCAUCUGGCUGGGUUGCCCCAGACCUCUGUUUCCAAGUGGACUGAGUCUCAGUCUCCCUGGAAACCAGAACUUUAUUUUUACUGUUAGGGCUUAAAAAAUCCAUCCAAAUGCAUUCUUCAGUUAUUUAGAUUAUGCAAUCCAGAUAUUUGUUUUGAUUUCCCAUAAUUGAUCUCACAUUGGUCUUAUCCUAAUUGAUAUCACAUUAGCAGGGCUUUUUUUUUCCAGCUGGAACUCGCGGGAUCUCAUGUGCCAUGUAAAUGGAAAUGUAUGUUCACACUUGAAGCUUAUACAUCAUGAAAAAGAUGUACAUUACACAUAAUGUGUAAUGUACUUUAUUACUGCAUUUUGGUACUCUUUGCUGCUAGCCUGAUAUGAAACCAGAUUCUACUAACUCCAUUGAAAUAAACACAUGGAAGAGUCCUGGAAAGUUCUUUAAUAAUAAUAAUAAUAAUUGCAGGAUCUAGCAAAUCAAGACAUUGGUAAAGGUAAAGGGACCCCUGACCAUUAGGUCCAGUCGUGGACGACUCUGGGGUUGCGGUGCUCAUCUUGCUUUACUGGCCGAGGAAGCCGGCGUAUAGCUUCCAGGUCAUGUGGCCAGCAUGACUAAGCCGCUUCUGGUGAAACCAGAGCAGUGCACGGAAAUGCCGUUUACCUUCCCACCGGAGCGGUACCUAUUUAUCUACUUGCACUUUUAUGUGCUUUCGAACUGCUAGGUUGGCAGGAGCAGGGACCGAGCAAUGGGAACUCACCCCGUUGUGGGGAUUCAAACCACUGACCUUCUGAUCGGCAAGCCCUAGGCUCUGUGGUUUAACCCACAGCACCACCAUGAGCCAAAUCAAGAGUCUCUUACUCUGAAGUAGUCCACUAGGGCAACUUGCUACUGAACUGGCUGUUCAGUUAUUCAAAUGUAAAUGAGGACAUCUGCUUAAAUCAUCAUAGUACAGGGAAUGACACGCCUUUGUAAUCUCUCUCUUUCAAAAACAUUCUUGGCAGCGCAGAAAUGUAUUUACUAUCUUGCUUGACUACUGUAUGCUGGUGAUCUUAAAAUUAUCUUUAUUGCACAGUGAAUGCAAGAUUAUCUAUGCUUCUUUCACAGGCAGGCUAAGAGUGCAGUCCUAACCCUCCUGAUCAGUGCUUCUGAGUUAGAAUAUAGCAGGUGUCAUGCCUAGGCACCAGGCUCCACUGUUGAGGGUGUGGAUGAAAUUAUACCACUGGUGGUAUCUCCACUGACAGUAACCAGUAUAGGUCCCCAAAAUAGGGUGUUAUGGGGCUGGGGUAGAGCAGAGUCAGCCAUGAAUCUGCUGGAUCCUAAACUAAUCCAUUCCCCUUAGAACAGGCUUCCUCAAACUUGGCCCUCCAGAUGUUUUGAGACUACAAUUCCCAUCAUCUCUGACCACUGGUCCUGCUAGCUAGGGAUCAUGGGAGUUGUAGGCCAAAAACAUCUUGAGGGCUGAGGUUGAGGAAGCCUGCCUUAGAAGGCUAGAACUUGGAGUUAGAGCAGCAAAAAUGAUAGAAAUGGUCCUCCCCUUUGCCCUGUGUGUUGCGAACAGGUAGGCCUUCAGAUGCAGCAGUCAAACUGCUGCUCCACCCUGGUCUUCCUGGCUGAGAGAUUCCUCUUCCUUACUUCUGUAUGUAGCAUGUUUUUCAACCUGAGGGCUGCAUUCUCUUCCAGGCAACCUUUAGGCAACCACCAUGCCAGAAGCAAAAGUGAGUGGAGAAACAAAUGUUAAUUUGCUCACACGUCCCUCUUUUUCCUUCAUCCAGGCAAUGAAGAAGUAUUGUCACAGUUCAAUGGCAUAUUCUAUGCAAAAACACACAAGGAGUGUGAAAAGCAGGACUAGUGAGGGGUGUGGUCUGGAAAGAAGGGGCACGGUGAAGGAGGGUGUGUGGCCUGGGACCACAUUCUGAGGGACACAUAGAGAGGGCAGGAGAUCAAUAUUUGGGCCCCAGGCCUGGGUUUCCCUUUUCUUGGUCUAUAGGUUUGCACUGCUCCUGUUUGAUUUAAAGUUGAAGAAAAGAUCAGCAGCAUUCCAAACCUCACAUGGCUCAAGUAGCUUCAGCAAUCAAUAUCUGACAGUAAAAAAUUUUCCAUGUUUGCAUUCCUGCUUCAGUCAUUCCUGUUUCCUGGUAGAAUUUCCAGAAGGUUGAAACAGGAACUACCUGACUGCCAUUGCUGUGCUUUCCAAAUUAUUGGCAGCGUUAGCUGAAAUGUUCCCAAGAUUAUUUUUAAUAUUCAGUCUAACUGAUUUCUGGAAGAAUACAGUUAAGUACCUGCUUUUAUGCAAUAGUUGACAUAGCAAGGCUUCGCUGCGGUUUGGCCAGAAUGCCAGAAUAAUGAAGAUGGAAACCUGAGUCUGCUGCCUGAGAGAUUGCACUGGUUCUCAAAAACACUGAAGUGGCUCUUUAGAGUACAAUAUAAUAUUGACUUUUAAUAUAAUGUUCCUAUUAAGAACCAUUUCUUACAGAUGGCAGAUAUCGUGAACCUGUGGAGUCCUGCAAAAAAAGACAGAAUCCAGCUCUACCAGUCGCUUGAUGGUUUGGUCACAGAAACAAACUGCUUGCUUUACAAUCCAAUGUGUGUCUGAUUGGAAAUAAACCUGACUGAAUUCAAUGGGACUUGCUCCAGGUAUGUGUGUAUAGAACUGCAGUCUUAAGCACUGUUCUUGAGUAAACUAUAAUGAAAGGGGCAAGGCUUUUAAAAAAUGUGUUAUGGAAGGGGUUAUUGGGUUGUUGUUUUAUUUUGAUUAUUAUUAUUUUGAUUAUUUAUUUUGGCCCGAAUAUAAGCCGCACCUGCAAAUAAGCCGCACCUUUAAAAUUCAUGGGGGGGGGAGACAAUAGCCAAGUACGGGUACCAUUCCCCCCAUGCUCCCAGGCUGCUUCCUGAGGGGGGGGACUAUGACGCUUUGUUGGCAGCCUUCCCCCUUCUUUUUGGCAGCUCUGGGGAGGCUUGGGAGCGGCAGGUGGGCUGUGCGUCGUUGCCCAAUGCUCCCGGGCUGCUCUCGGGGGGGGGGAGCUGCGCCACUUUGCUGGCAGCCUCCCCCCUCAUUCCAAUGGCUCAGGGGAGGCUUGGGAGUGGCAGUCAGGCUGGGUGCCAUUGCCCCAUGCUCCCAGGCUGCUUCCUGGGGAGUGGGAGCCAUGCCACUUUACCGGCGGCGUAAGGUCAUGAAUAUAAGCCUCACUUUAACUUUCCACAGUUGGAAUUGGCGGGGGGGGAGUGCGGCUUAUAUAUGAGCCAAUACGUUAUGUAUUUUGUGGUUUUAUAUUCUGAUUUUAUUCUGUGAACCUCCCUGAGACCUGCGGGUAUAGGGUGGUAUAUAAGUUCAAUCAAUCAAUCAAUCAAUCAAUAAUAAAAUAUAUGAAAAUUAUAGAAAAUAAAUAAAUAAAUCAUUGUCCAUUACAACUACUGUGCUUUUGUGUUGUAGUAAAGAGACAUGGAGAAAUAGUGAUCAAAAUAAUCUAUUUUCUGGUGGCUGAGGUGGGGGAGGGAAUAGAGAUUAGAUGCCCUACACUCAGCACACAUCAGUGAAGGUGACAGAUCAGUGUUUUUCUUUGCAAGUAAAGAUUAUUAUGAUUUUUAUUUUUUAAAAACUUUUCUCCAGCAGAUUCAUUACCUUAGCUUACCCCAAUACCAUAUUCAUUGACUGAGCUAGUGAAAUGUACCAGACUGGAAAAAUACACACACAUUUAUUUUCCUUGACUGGCUACUGCUUCUUUGCUUCUUACUCACCAGGAGCCAGAUUUGUCUUGAGGCAACGUCUAUUCCCAUUGAAGGAGCCAUAAAGUUUACUACCGCCAAGCAGUGACUUGCUCCAUUUAAACAUGAUUCAUUGGGAAGCCUGUUUUGCAUCAGUUAACAUGCAACAUUCACACUUUUUGUUAGGGGGGAUUCACUGCUAAGUUAUGUAACUGUCCCACUUUGGUGAGACAACUUCUGGAGUCACGAACCUGUUCAGGCACUUAACAAAUGUGUGAAGGUACACAGAACAUAAAGGGGCACUGGAUAGUACAGGUGCUGUCCCUAAUGUCCUCUUCUACUCCACCUGACCUUCCUUCACUGAAUGGAAAGAUCUGAAGAGGGAUUCCAAGCAGAUACAGCUGCAUUGACUUAGAAGACUUCCCAUGACUAUGAACCCUGGUAAUGCAGGGUUCCUGGCCACGGUGAAGAUGCUAAGCAUAUUCCUCUGAGUGGGUGAGGAAUCCCUUCUCAGAUAUUCUCACUCAGUACUGGAAAAUCUGCAGGGCCACAAUUUCUACAUCCCUGAAACAGAGGAUAGCUUUUCAGAAAAUCCUACAUUGUCUAUAGGCAUUGUUAAGCUUUUCUUCCAAGCAGGCCUGUGCUUGUUGUAAGUACAGGAACCAUUUCUCACAAUGUUUGCCAAGACUUGCUGCCCCAGAAAAGAAAAGACCUGGAUGGGUGAACCAACAUCUGUGCCAAUGCAAUGCCACAAGGCAUGAUGUUCUGCCCCACAGGAAUGUUGCAACAGCACUGCAAGCAACAGUGCCUAGGUCAAUAUGGAAGACCAGCAUGUGCAGAUUCUGUAGUUGCAAAUGGCUCAUGGAGCAGAAUUCAUUAAAAUGUUCCCUCGUGAUUAAGUUGCAUCUGAAAGGAAAGGCACAGGAAAGUGUUUUCCUGGCUCAGACCCCAUCACCUCAGGUCCCAGAAGAAGAAAGAUAUACAGAGUAGACUGUUCAGCUGGUUGCAACAGGAACAGGAGUGAAGCAACAUGAAUCAGUAUCUGUGCUACAGUCGAUGGUGAGAACAAUGGAUGUGGUGAUCAUGAGGAAGCAUAAAGUCAAAAGAAAAUGUGAUCGACAACCAGAAAAAGUGGGGAAUAGACUAGGGACAGUCUGGAAAAGGUUGGAAAAGAAAGGAAGAAGAGCAGAUUCAGGGGAUAAAAAGAAUUUCAAACCAUACUUGGGGAAAGUCUUGAAGCUUGCACCUUGCUCUAGAACAAGUGGAGACUUAAUAGUCUACAGUAAUAACCUGCUGGAAUGGACAUCUCAGCAAUUCAUCAUAUUUCCCCAGUAACAUUGAUAUAAGAGACUCUCCUACAACAUCUCCACCUUUUUACUCAUUGUGUUCACUUAUGCCAAUUUCUUUGACCGAACAGACAGUGCUACAUAUUGAGGCUAACUUCAGGCAUCAUCAUUUAGUAAAGGUUAGUGAAACACUAACAGAAGUGCCUGGUGUGCUCUGGUCCAUGGGGUCACGAAGAGUCGGACAAGACUAAACGACUAAACAACAACAUCAAGUGAAACACUUAGGACAGCAUUUACAAUUGUUUCCAAUUUCAUCUAUAAAACCUACCGCACAUCCCACCCAUUACGACUAUCUCCAGGGCCAGCCAUACUGUUACUAAGUCUCCUCCCAUGACAGAUGCCAGGGGGCGGGGGUCAAGAACUGGUAGAGAACAGAGCUGUGUGUGCCACAUAGCCUGACCUGCCCCUCUUAAGACAAACUGCUGUCUGUAGGUGCAGUGAGGAACAAUGUCCUCUAGCCAGCACUGAAGUAAGGCCCCAUCUACGCCAUACAUUUGAAAUGGAAUGGGAACACUUUAAAUAGCCAUGGCUUCUCCCGAACAAUCCUGGAACUGCAGUUUGUUAAGGGUUGAGAGACUCAUAGAGAAUUGCUAUGUGACCCCUAUUCCCCUCAGAAAGCUCAUUCUUCUUCUUCGUCUUCUUCUUCUUCUUCUUCUUCUUCUUCUUCUUCUUCUUCUUCUUCUUCUUCUUGUCAUAUUUAUAUUCCUCCUUCUCCCCAAGGCAGUUCAAUACUCAUUCAAUCUGUUUAACAUUCAAUCUGUCUUGCUAAGGAACUCUAAAAAACUCUGUGGCUCUGUGGAUGGAAUAGAGGUCUCCUCAUAACUCUCAGCACCCUUUACAAACUAAAACUCCCAUGAUUCUUUGGGGGAAGUCAUGCAUGACACCACCUUCAAUGUAUAGGGCAGAUGGGGCCUAAGAUUCAACGGCCUGUCUAGUAUGUGGAGUGGAAGGUGUGGAGUGCCAUCUUGUCCACCUCAGAAAACAAAAUGGCUUGACCUGGGCUGCUCCUGGCUGUCUUUCUCUAGCUGUCUUACUGUCAUAUAACAGAAAGGGCCUCCCCUGAAAGCAUGUAUAAUUAAGCAGUUUCUAGAGGAAUGGAGAAUGUUUUUCAAAUCAUUGCUAUUUCAAUGACAGCCUUUAAGCGUAUUGUUUCAAGUCUUGAUAUCCAGCAGGCCAACUGCUGUUCCUAUGGCCUGAAAUGAUAUACACAGAUGUGGCUCCUCCAACAUAUUAGUCAACCAAAAAAAUGUUCUUAUUUACAGGAAACACAUUUUAUCCAGGGAAGCAACAGAGAAUAAAAGAACAUGCCGAAGUUCAACGCUAUGAAAUGGGAGGAGACACACAGUAGUUGUUAAUGGGGAACAUGCUGUGAGAUGUAAGAUGUAUAUAUAUUUUCAAGGAAGGCAGUUUUUCUUCCUCCUUUCCAUAUCUCCACAGAGCUAAGAAACAUUGUUCCCCAGUUCUCUGAAUAAAUUACUAUGACUAUGCAUGAAAGGUACAGACAGCUAGCUCAUUGCCUUUUGGGAUUUUUUUUCCUGACGUGUUUUUUAACCAAAUGAACAUGUGGCAACAGCAUAAAAGAGUAAGUUUGAAUUCCAGAGAUUCUGUUAAACCAACUGAUCUACUCAGAUAGUUUGGAAAGGUACCAAACUGACAGAUGGGUUCCAAAACAACAGUUUUUAAUUUGAUUAAUUAGAUCACUUUUGAAAAGAAAGGAGGGGAAAGGCUGCUCAAGUUAAUUUCCUGAUUUCCAUAAUCUCCUCUCGAAUAAAGGAGGACAGCUGAGGAAAUAGCCUAGAUAAAUAGAACAACUAUGAUGCAAUAUUGUAGCAGAAGAAAGAGAGGUCAGAUUUGUAGUGAAUUCAGAUUUUAUGAGUUUUUGUUUUUUAAAGCGGUGAGCACUUAAUGUUUCAGAAGAGGUGCAAAACCUAUUGAAUACAUGGAUGCAUGGAAAAAUUUCAGUAAUAUCUGAAUGGCCAGGGGUUCGCCAUUCCUGCUGUAAUGGAAAUCAAAGCAUCUUUAAGAAGUGAUGUCAACUAGAGGAAAAGAGUGUUUUAAGUACAUCUUAAGAAGGUGUGUGUGGCCGGCUAGCUUGGGGAGUAGGAAGCUAAAUAAAGCUUGUUUGUUGAAAAUAUUGACAAGAAAAUGGGACUUGAGCCAACUCAUCAAAUCACAACUUAUUUCCCGUGAUGCUGUCAAAGCUGUCUCUCAGUCUUGCCUGCAAGCAGUUGUGCAGAAGACUUAAUUUGUGACCUGUGCUCUCCAGUUAUAGAACUGUAAUAGUCAGGAGGAAACAUUCCAUGUUGAUAGCAGCACUUUGAGAUGUUAUGCUCCCGGGAACUGCUGGCAAGUUCCUGUCCAUGGACACUCCCAAGUCACACAGCUAAGGAUGAUUCAGUUGGCAUUUUAAAGGAAACCCACUUAAUUCGCACUUUGCGAAACAAUAAGUGAACGAAAAAUGGUAUCUAUCAAAUCUGAAUUUUGCCGUGCAGUUCUCCAGUUAAGUAAGGUGCACAAACCAAAAGUCCAGGUUGACAUACAAAGCCAAACCAUGGCUUAGCACAGAAGAGGAAGAAUUACAUAAAGAAUGGAGACUCCAUGAGCCUUUUCAGGAACCCUCAUGCUGAUCUGUUUGUUCUAAGCUAUGGUGUGGCUAAGUGCUACAUGCACACCAGUUCUAUGUAUUGAUUUCAUUAUUCAUGGUAUAAUUGACUCAGCUGCCAUUGCCAACAUUUGUGAUUUUUAUCUGAUAUCCAUUCAUUUCACUUCUUCUGGAGAUUCAGCACUGGCUAUCUUUACUGUUGACAACUCAGCUAGAACUUUUCUGUUUGAACCAGGGAGCACAUAUAAAACAAUGACUGCAUUUUCUGAUGGCUCUUUAGUGGGUAAGUUUAAACGAGAAAUGUGUUUGGGCUGAAUCCAUAUUACAUUUUUUUAAAAAAUGAGUUUCUAGUAGACCCCUUUCUUUUGUGAAACAUUGUUCAAUAGUUGUUUCAUUAUUUCAAAAUUGUAGCAGUGGUUGGAAUCAACAUGCCUAUUGGUUGGGUAUACCCACUGGGAUUUUUGGGUCUCUGCCUUUGAACAGCUGACUUCCCUGGCUGCCAUGCCACAAACUGCUUUUCAAAGUCCCCUCAUUUUCAAAGGUGGUAUGAGGUUGGUUUUUUGGGGCUGGAGGUGAUGUUUAAGACACAGAAACCCAAAGCCCCCUUGGCUUUGAAUAACUGCCUUUCUCUCUCUCGUUCCUGCCCAGUGGCUUUUAAUUUUAUUUUAUUAUUAUUUUUUAGAAAUGGGAGAGUACAAAUAAGGCAGGAAUUUCUUUGAGGAACUAAAUGAACAAAAUUGAGGCUGUGCCAUAGCACCAUGGGCAUGAAUAGAAGAUAUUGCAGGUGAACCACAAGCCUAAUGUCAAUAUUUAAUAGGGGCAAACAAGUCACUCCUACUCAUUCAACAGCACAAUUAAUUCAGAAAUCUGUCAACAGAGGUAUAAAAGGAAUGCCAUUCUACAUGGUUCGGGGGGGCAGUUUGCCAAAUAAAUGUUUGUUUUCCACAGGAUAUGGACAAUCUAAUAUUUGUACAGGAUUUCGCGUAUUAAAAUCCUUAAUGUUAUGUUGAAAUCGCCAUCAUAAUCCAAAUAGCUUAACAAACAAAAAUGGGGAAAUGGAGUAAUCAGGGGAUUCUAGUGAUAAAAUCCACUUCGAUUCAGCAACAAUGUUCUCACACGAGAGCAUGUAAAAAAUGGGAUAUCCUGAUGGGGACAGGAUCUCUCUUUCCUCCCCAGGAACCCAAAGGGUGGCAAUAAAGGGAGAGAGAAAAUAAAUAUGGUCCUUCUUAGAAUCAUAGAAUCAUAGAGUUGGAAGAGACCACAAGGGUCAUCGAGUCCAACCCCCUGCCAAGCAGGAUCUUGAGCAAUCAAGGAUCUUGAGCAAUCCUUUAGUUUACACAUACAAAGAUAGUUUCUACAGUAAUGUUAAAUACAGAACAUCUAAUUCUUUCCCCUGUUUUAUUUGUCUUCACCUCUUAUGAGUUGAUCUAGGAGUACUGAAAUUUACAGGCGAAGAAGUCCACAUUCAUUUAAAUAGGAUCUAGUGUUGUACAGUUAACAACCUUACAGUCUAUGAGAUCAUUGCUGGCAUGAAAAGUAAGGUAAAUAUGAUUACUGGAUUUGUGUAUAUAUAUCUCCUGUCUCUUUCCUUGUAUUUCAUAAUUCCUUAGGGUCUUGUUAUCCUAUGAUAGCUACACAUGUCCUGGGGUUACUAGCAUUUAUAUAUUUUCAUUCUAACAUCUGCCCUGUGGGCUUGGUUGCUGUGUUUAAUACCUUCCUCAGUGCCAGAUGGCUGGCCUUACUUUUUCACCAUGCCACUAUAAACCAUCCUAAAAGCAGAGAUGGUUUUAGGGUAGUGUGACAGGUUUGCCUACACUAGGCCAAGCUGAGAGGAGGUGCUGCAGGAGGUGCCACAACAAUGAUGAACAAUGGAAGGCGAGAGGCAGGAAACUCUGGAUUUUUGUGCCACACAGGGUGCCAAAGUCUGCCCCUGCUCCAAGGAUCUGUGCUCCUGACUUAUCUAAUGGAGCAGUCUUGAAGACAAUCCAUGAAACUGUUUUGCUGGAAUAGAAGCAUGAUGGAACUACUUCAGUGGUCUGUUAUUUACAGCCAGGUUCAGCCCAAGUGACUUUGAACAAGUUGUUCUCUCUCAGACUCAAUUACCUACAUGUAAAAUACAUCCAAUGUGAACAGUAAGCUCCCAUCUUAUAGAGGUUUGUUAGGCUACAGCACAGAAAGAUACCAAUAACUUCCAUGAUGAAUGUGUGCUAACAAAAACAAGCCAAAUAAACGUUCUUCGUGAUAUAGCCUCUGUGCACCACAACCCUCAAUCAUAGAAAGAAGCUACUGUAAGCCCUGCAGUUUUACCUUUACUGCACCUUAAUUUUUAGUCUUCAAUGAAGAUGCCCAUUACAUCAUUUUUACAUGCUUAAUUGAUCCUGAAUCAGUUGCCUAGAUAUACAAUGCUGGAUGGUUUAAGAUUAAACGUAUGUUGUAUUACUUUGAAAUAUUCUAAUGACUUCAUUUUAAUUUUUAUUCUGUUGGCAUGCAUUGCCUUGCCAUAAUUGAGUAUAAAUGGAAAUUAAUAUGCAAGCAAUUAUUAAAAUAAGAUCUGUGUCUAUUCACUUAAAGGUAAGCAAAAUACAGAUUGACAAGUUAAAAUACAGGUGGAACAUUGUUUUCUUGUACUAUAAAUUCCCAGGUGUUAAAUGGUUUGAAAAGUAGGAAAACAAAUUUGUAAGGUGGGAGUUGGGGAGACAGGAUCUGGCCUUUGGGGGGGGGACUAUAAGAAUUGGCUUACUGAUGCUGAUUCUUCCAAGUCGUGAAAUAAAUCCAGGAAGUGGGUUUCUCAGCUUACUAGUAGUUGUCAAUUCCAAAUAUAUCAGACUGUUUUAUUUUUCUUUGUUUACCCUCUCUGCAUUUCUUUUGCCAUCUUUUUCUAAAACAGAAAAUAUACAUGUCAGCUCCAAUUACUGCUGCUGUCGAAAAAUCUCCAGUUACAGCCAGUUGUAGAUUACUUUCUUAUGGCUGUGGGAUCAAAUUGUAGAUUAAUAGUAAUGGUGUGCUAUCCCAAGUCACUUGAUUCCAAGGUAUGUAUAACAAAAGCCAUCAUCACACACAGUGUCCUUGUCUUUAUAUUCUGCUGCAAAGUUUUAGCUCCCGGUAGUAAUGGCACUGCCAGUAGUGAUGUAUGGAAGUGAGAGCUGGACCAUAAAGAAGGCCGAUCGCCAAAGAAUUGAUGCUUUUGAAUUAUGGUGCUGGAGGAGACUCUUGAGAGUCCCAUGGACUGCAAGAUCAAACCUAUCCAUUCUUAAGGAAAUCAGCCCUGAGUGCUCACUGGAAGGACAGAUUGUGAAGCUGAGGCUCCAAUACUUUGGCCACCUCCUGAGAAGAGAAGACUCCCUGGAAAAGACCCUGGUGUUGGGAAAGAUGGAGGGCACAAGGAGAAGGGGACAACAGAGGACAAGAUGGUUGGAUAGUGUUCUCGAAGCUACCAACAUGAGUUUGACCAAAAUGCGGAAGGCAGUGGAAGACAGGAGUGCCUGGCGUGCUCUGGUCCAUGGGGUCACGAAGAGUCGGACACGACUAAACAAGUAAACAACAACAAGUAAUGGCACUGAAUUUCAUUCAAGCAUUUGUAUCCUAAAUGUCACAAAUCUCUCUCUCUCUCUCAAGCCUGUUUCAAAUUGUGAUCCUCUGAAAUUUGGACGUGAGUCUGAAUGGACCCCAAAAUGCCCAGCUCCUACCACGAGCCCUCAUCAUCCUGACUAUCCUCUUCCUUUGACAUUUAUUUAGUGGUAAAGGCUAGCAAAAGGUACUUCUGUAGGAUCUCUGUGAAACUGCAAGUACACAACAGCAUUCAGGGGCCACUGAGAACAAUGUGAAAUGCAGAGGUCCCUAGGUCACAUUGCACUGCCUGUAACAUCAGAAGCAUGAUGGGACCUUUGCUUAAAAUGCAGCCAAUUAAAAUGACUCAUAAUCUGAAGAUCAGUUACAAAAUAAAUCUUUUUAACUUUCUUCACUCCUAACCAGGCUUGGAGGGAGUCGUCAGGAGAGUUCUAGAGUUACUACAGAAUUCUGCCUUUUAAAAUCAAUAAAGGCUUUAAAAUGCCUGAGAAACCCUACAACUUGAUAACUUGACAGUUUAACCUGAAAGUGUUAAACUGAAUUUUCACACAAGUCUGCUUUCAAAUUCUUCAAAUGUAAACGAAGACAGAACAGUUCUAUAACAAGACUAUACCACCUCCAAAAAGGUUUGGCUCACUCAGUUUCCAAAUAGAUAGUAUUGUGAUCUAUUAAACAGAAAUGAGACAGAUCUGGUUUUCGUAACCCACAAUCCAAUUCAAAGGCAUCUAGCACAACACCUUUUGCACCUAUCCAUCUGAAAUUUGACAGUAUCCCUCUACAUGUAAAAGGCUACUGUGCCUACAAAAUUCAUCAAAUUAUGACAAAAUAUUUAUAAUGGCAUUUACCUUAACAAAAAAAACUACAAAAAUCAAGGGCUACUUGCACAUACGCAAACAACCCCCUCUGCACCUAUUUGUCUGACAUUUGACAUGCAUCAUCCACUUGGAAGGGGAUAUUAAGCCUGCAAAUUUCAGUCAGUUUUGCCACAAAGCAAAAAGUCCAUAACUAUGUGCUGAUUUCCUCUAAUAGUUAAUGGGGAGACAAGUGAGAUUCUGAUUCAGACCCAAUGUGUAGCUACAGUCCUCCGUAUGGGUCUGAGAAGAAUCAACCCACUUUUUGGAGCCCUCUAGUUUUUAUUUACUUGCAUUAAUACUUUUUAGACAGCUUUUAAAAAUGUUCAUGGUAGCAAAGAUACUUAACAAGCUUGCAAUAUGUUGCUCUUCCAUGCACAACAUGGAAGGGUUUAACCUAUCCAGGCUGCAAGGUGGCAACCUUAAGAACCAGCCAUCGAUUUCUAUCUACAGUGGUACCUCGGGUUAAGUACUUAAUUUGUUCCGGAGGUCCGUUCUUAACCUGAAACUGUUCUUAACCUGAAGCACCACUUUAGCUAAUAGGGCCUCCAGCUGCCGCCGCGCCUCCGGAGCACGAUUUCUGUUCUCAUCCUGAAGCAAAGUUCUUAACCCGAGGUACAAUUUCUGGUUAGCAGAGUCUGUAACCUGAAGUGUAUGUAACCUAAAGAGUAUGUAACCCGAGGUACCACUGUAUUCAGAGAAUGCAUUUAGCUAGUGAAGCUGAAUUCACACCAGCCAGUCAUGAAGACAGAUGAAAAUGCUAACAGCUGUUUGAAAAUUCAGGGAAGCACAUGUUCAAGCUCUGAACCACAACUUGGUUUUUUUGCCCACUGUGUCCCUUUUAAUUGAUGAAGUGACACAUUUAGAAUUUAAUUCCAACAUCAUUUCUGUAGUGAGUGUGUAAAAGUAAGAACAAGUUGUUCCAUAGAAGUCUGUGACGUUAAUAAUAAUGUGUUAAUUCAGGAAAUAGCAGAGGCAACAUUACAUUUCUCCAGAGGGAAACAACUUGAAAGAAAGGCAUGAAGGUAGAAGAGAAGUGAAAAAUCAACAUUAUGAAUAAUAUGAGUUUUCUAGACUUUGAGACUCCCUGCCUCAGGAUCAGGCUGCAUGCACAGAUCUAAGCACAACUUUGGUGCUAGAGAGAAAAUGCUGAUCAUGUGUUGGAGAAGAAGGAGAGAAAGGGAAACAUUUCCUCAUUCCUGUAUCAUUGGCACUGGAUUAGAUCCAGAGUUGCAUUUCCAAAAAUGGAUGGACACAUUGGAUUCAUGGAAUGGAUUGAAAUCCUGUAGAGGCAAUUCUUGCAGAUUCCCCCUCCUGCCUGCAGCAUCAUGCAAUUCUCCAGAGCAUAUUUUCAUGGGACUGCAAGGAGGAUAUAGGAAUCAAUAUCAGCCCCUUCCUUCUUUCCUAGCGAGAGCGCCCCAUGAGUUUAGCUUCACUCACAGGAAUUCUGGAUCCAAGCCACUGUCCCUAAUACUGCCAACCAUUUGUUUGGCAAUGUGUAUGGUGUGCAAAAGUGUCCAAUGUGUACCCCUUUGCGUGCAUGGAUCUAAUUUAGAACAGUGGCCCAUAAGCAGAAGCUAGUUUCCAUGCACAGAUCUCUUUUGCUGCACUGAAAUCUGACUCGGAAAUAUUUUUUUUGAAAGACAAAAAUACAAUUUCAUCGUGAUUUAAGUUAAUUCAAUAAGGUCCAGGAUCAACAUAUUCAAUACUUUUACGCUUUGUUUCUCCUCCCCUGCCCCCAGCUUCUUAAAUCCAACAGUACCCAUUGCUUGGGAAUGCUAUAAAAUUGAUCGUAAGGAAAAAAUGGAUUUUAUUUUUUAUUUUUUUACAAGCAAAUUGAAGCUUGUAGAGUUGGCACUAUAGGAAGCUGUGUAAUUCCUUUGGUAGGAUCAAACAAAGACAAUUGCCUGCAAAAUGUGUUGGUGUUGAGUGUUGCCUCUCAACCUUUCAUAUGUAAUCUAAAUGGUUUGUGACAACCAUAGUACCUGAUUUGCCAGCCUCUUUGAGUAAAAUAUUAGAAGUGUGGGUGGCAUGAAGUCUUCCAGGAAUUUGGAUAGUGGUGUAACAGAGGGGGCAGCUUUUACCUGUCUCAGAUCCUCAUGUAAAUGUGAAGCAUCACUGUAGUAUACCUUCGUGAUAUAAAGAGAGGACCACACCUUAUCUAAUCAGGACUCCAAAGUUGCUGUCUUUCAGAACAUCCCAUCUGUCAGGACCUCUGUACAUGCUCUGAAAUCCAAGACUCUGCUUAAGCAAGGAAAUUGUAAGUUGCUAAUUUAAACUGAGCUUUGUUUCUCAUUUGCAAGUCUAUGCAAGUGCAAUUUUGAUGCCUUUCCAUUUCCUUCCUUUCCCCCCUCCCUUUCUUAUUCUCUAGUAAAAUUCCAUAUGUUUUUACAUUUUCCUUUAUUGGUUUUUAAAAGGCUAUUUUCUGGAACUUCUCACUAAAAUCAUCCCCACAUGCUAGAUUGCAUGCUUGCAAAUCUACCUCUUUGCAUUCUAAGGAUAGUUCACAAGCUUUUCUUAAGUUCUGGCUUUGAGAAACUAAAGCUCUUCUCUUCUUUCUCUUCCUGCCCCCACCCCAAGCUGGACUGAGGCAAGUUAUUGGCAGUAAAGACACUCUCCAAGCAACUGGAUCCCUUAACUGGAAGCUGCCUAUCAUAAUUUUUGGGGAGGGGAAACCCUUGCAACAAUCUGCCCGCAUAAAAAUAACCAGAUCCGUCACAAAUGGAGGUCCAUUUGGAACAGAUUUUCACUUGCAAGGGGGGGAAAAACCCUCCUUUGCCAAUGGUGAUGGCAUGUGCAUGUGCAGAAUAGUUAUUUUAAUCCUGUCCUCCAGAUCAGUACGAUAAAGUAGCCAAGCACCAACCUGAAAAUAUAGUUGCAGAUCAAGUGACGCUCCUGCAGGAAACCGGGGGGGGGAGCAUUUUGGGAGCAGACAGGAGCCUCAAAAUGUGGAUACCAUCCAGCAUUCAGAAGGACAACUCACAACUUGAAUUGCAAAUAUGAGGCACCCCUAUUAUUAUCUUCCAGACAUUUUAAUAGGAUUUAUUCACAUAAUAAUUUUAAAAUUAAGAUUGGCUACUCUUUGUCGUGACAUUUCCUGAAUCAAUGAGACUCCCCUUCAUAAGUUUCUGUAGCUCAGCUUCUACAUUUCAAUGACUUCAUCCUGUGCUCCUUAUGUUGAAAACCACAUGCUAGGGGAAACAUGUGUAGGUCCUUCUUAUCUGAUCAUUGCUCCCCCUUCUUAGCUGAUCAACAGUUGGGUG
rnacentral:lncRNA from 1 species